AGGAGAUGAAGGUGUCAUCAAGCUAUACGUGUGUUGAACACGGAGGUGCCAUCCGUUCGGCGAUUGAUUGGGAGUUCGCGAGACGUAUCGUUAUUGGAUCGCGAAGAUGUUCAACUACAUCAACCGCGUUCUUUUACGUUUCCGCUAAAUGAUCUACAAGGGUAGGUGGAUACAAUCUCUCCUCUCGUAGAUGUGCAUCUCUGUAACAUCCCAAAUUUUCAAAUUGGAAUGUUAUGCAUUAGAUCAUCAUUGCAUAUCAUAUUUUAUUGCAUUCUUGGUUGACCCUAGAAAUUCUACGCGACUCAAGGACCCACACAAAGCGUUGAUGAUUUCGCUAUUUUCAUAAUUGAGUUUUCCCAAAUUUGGAAAAGAGGAUCAUUUGGUUUUAAUUAUUUUCUCUUCAAAUAUUGCUAAAUAUAAAAUAAAAGAGAGGGCAUAAAAUGACUUCCCCAAAAUAAAAAAAUAUUGGUGGAAAAAUAUGAAAAUCAAAUAAGAAUUUUACUCAGAGUUUUAUUGCUAUUUUAUUUGAAUUAGGAAAAAAAAUGCAUUUUUUUAAAAUUGAAUUAGAGGCCCAAAUAAAUGUUCACCUUGUGUGUCAUAUUUUUAGAGGACGAGGAAAAUUUAUUUCAGGAUUUUUGGAGUUCGUUUGGUAUUUCUUUUUUUUUAUCUUCUACGCGUCGGAAUUAUUUAAAAAAAAGUCAAACCAUUUAAACGGGUCGUGUCCGACCGGGACUCUAUGUCGUCGGCCUUUAUCAUGAGGUAGCCGUUUUAAAAAAAGCCGUAGAUUUAUUUUUAGAUAGGUUUAGUUAUUUUAUUCCCGGUUUAUUUAAUUAGCGUAUGUUCGUACGUACGUUCGUUUUAACGAACGAUGUUCAUCCGUUAUCCGCACACAGCGAAUGUUCGUUCGUUAGCCUAUUCGUCAGUUUUUCUUUUUCCAGGGAUUUUCCGCGAUUAUUUCCAAUCGCGAUUUCUGCCGUGAUUUUCGUUUUAGUUUAUCUUUUCGCUCGUUUAUCGGAAUCAGGUGAUUCAAACGUCCAAAUCUUCGUCUCGAAACCCUCUUUCUGUUUAACGAACUUGAACAAGAUUUUUGGAUUGUAAAAUUUGACUAUGGUCCAAAUUAGUAAACGAAUCUUGUUUCUUUUGUAGUUUGAGUUUCGUUGCUUCGUUUGUUUUGAUUCUUUUUGCAAACCGGAGUUCUUCAAUUGAACUUUCUGGUUAGAUCUCUUAUUUGAGUUUUACCCGUGCUUCUAGUUUGAGUGCUUAUGUAUGUUAUUGUUUGUUUACGAUAGAGUACCCGGAGUGCGAAGCAUGCUACUACGAGUCUCUAGGUUUUGCGGAUCAUCAGCAAGGCAAGUAACACUUUGAUCAUACCUCUUUACUACCCAGUUUAAUUGCAUUAGAUCAACACUCAAACAUUGCAUGGUUAGGAUCUGAUUAACGUGUGGGUUUUGGGAAGUAGAUGAUGAGUUGAACCUAUUCUCCUAUUUAUUAUCAAAUCUUUAGGAGUUACUUCUAUGUUUUGCUUAUUGCUAUGCUAUGCUCGUAGACAUGGAUUGGGUGAGUGUAUCCAUGACAUAUGUGAGUAUUGUUAAUUAAUGGUUCACUUAAGGUGGCUACUUAAAUACAGAUCUGGGUGGAUUUCUUGAGGCACCCUGGGGUACCCAGUGGUUGUCAGGGCACCUGGAGAAAUCCAGUGUUGUUCUAGGACAUCCCGGAGUAACCGUAUGAUCAUCCUACGGUCCGCCACCCAGGCUCAAAGGGAUCAUAAGAUUAUUCAUUCUAGAAUCUUCCGUGUGCAGCCACAUCUGGCAUAGUUGAGUAAGUUGCGUGAAGCUCUUGAAGCGGUAGACUAGCAGAUGUAGUGGGUUGUAGGUGGUACGGUCUACCCACAGUAGAGAGCUAAUGCUUCAGAAAGACUAUGCCUCGAUUCUCCGACCAUGGAUGUAUUGGAGUCUUGUGGGAAAAGUGCGCAAACCUCUACAGAUUGUACAAACUAAUCAUGGUUAGCCGUGUGCCCGGUUAUAGACAUCUUGAGUAUCUAAUUCUUGGAUUAUCAUGUUGAUCUCAUCACCCUAAAUAAAUUUGUUGGGUUUAAUGAUGAUGCUUAAUUGGGAUUGAGUUGGAGGAACCUUCUCAAUGUUUAACAACAACUAUGAUAGUUAAAUAAAACUUAUUCCGUUGUUGUAGGAUAAAGAUUGGCUUUAUGCAAAACUGUUAACCAUAGAGCUUUCCCCCAGCCAUAUAUGCAUGUAGAAAUAGCAUUUAUUCCGUUCAUUAAUCUAUGUGUUACAUUGCCAGCAUAUUCCAUGUGCUGACCCGUUUCGGGAUGCAACAUUUCGUGUUGCAGACUUUUAAGACGUCGAGUAAGGUGCCAUAGGUCGUUGUCUUUCACUCAGCUAUGCCGUUGGAGUUGAUGGUCUCACUUUAUCUUCCAAGCCUUCCGCUGUUAAUGUUUUAGAUGCCCUUAAGCCAUAUUAUUGUAAUAAGUUCUCUUUUGAGACAUUCGAUGUAAUAAGGGUGUGACUGAAACUCUGUUAUAAAUCCUCAAGUACUGUGCGUGUCAGCAUUACCGAUCCAGGGAUGACACAAAUGCAUAGAGACUGGACUGUUUGAGGUCUUGUCGCUACAAGAUGGUACCAGAGCCAAGUUGACUGUAGGACACGACCACUAAGCUAAAACCAUAGGUCACUCCUCUCUUCCCAUUUCUGACUCCUGUCCCCUUUCUUCUCUAUAGGAUGGUGGAUGCAAAGAACAAGUUCACACAACCGGAUGAAGAUACACCUUUUGGAAGACACUUGAAGGAAGUUACUAGGUACCUGAACAUCGGAAUACCAAGCUUCACCAGGACCUACAUCGCCACUUUACCAGAAGAGGAGCAUUGGAAGAUUCGAGUUCAAUUUCCAGGAAGGACGUUCAUGCCAGUCACUGAGCCCAUAGAGUUUUCCUUUGAUGCACCAACCUGGAGUCUAGGAAAGAGCAUGGCAGCCCACGUCACCAUGGGACGCAUUGGAGAAGUUUACCACAAGGAUCUCAAGGAUACUAUCUACCAGAUUUGUGGGCACCGAGACGAGCAAUGGGAGAUGAUCAGCACCAAGGGUACAGAUCCAUUGCAGCUUUCAUCCAGGAGUUAAACCAACACAUUCGACGCCAGGAGGACCAAAUGUGCACUGGCAUGAAUGAUUUGAAGAAGGAAAGGACCAGGAUUACGGAGCUGGAGGAAGAACUCAAAUCUACAUGCGAUGGAUACAAGGGGAGAUAAAGAUACUUGUGGAGAAGAUUGAAGAUUUGACAGGGAAGCUAGAAUUAUUCAUGGUAGACCCCGCGCCAAGUGGAGAUGAAGACGAUUCCACUUGUCCGGAGAACUACAUCAUCAUCGACGACACCGACUCAGACUCUGACGAUAGAGAUGAUGACUACGUUGAUGAAGCUGGAGCAGAUAUAAUGGAGUCCUCCAUCGAUCAAAACUUCUAGUCGACCACCAUAUCAACAGUAGUAUUUCCCAUGUACAUAGUAUAGUCCGAGCACUUUUGUAACGAUAGUUAGACUAUUUGUAUGCCCUUGUUUGAAUUGAUUGAAGUGAUAUGAUUGUGUUUGUCUCAUGUGCAUAUCGGUAGUGUUUUCUCUUUAGACCUCAUUCUAUUCUGUUUUCUCAUCUUUUCUAAACCCAUCAGAUGCGCGUGAGAUGUGACCCCGGAUUUUCUUUCCCACCGGAGCUCACUCAGUUGAUCUAGCAGCAGAAUACCCUGAUGCAGCUACUAGUCCAGAAUCAGAACCAGGGGAAGAACAACUACCCACCACCACCACCACUACCUGUUGAUCACUUAGCCCGUUUCUUAAGGCUAAAUCUGUCGGUGUUCUCUAGUAGCACCGAGCCGAUUGUUGCAGAUGAUUGGCUCCACAAGAUUGGAAGGGAGUUGACCACUGCAGGAUGCAUAGAUGUGGAGAGAGUGCGUUCUACCGCACAUCAGCUAGAUGGACCCGCAUCAUCAUGGUGGGAGAAUUUUAAAGUCACUUACCCCAUCGACACUGUCACAUGGGACUAGUUUCAGCAGGCUAUUCGCACCGCCCNNNNNNNNNNNNNNNNNNNNNNNNNNNNNNNNNNNNNNNNNNNCAGCAGGAGUUAUGGCCAUGAAGAAGCGUGAGUUUCGCAACUUGUGCCAAGGAGGACGCACAGUGGGCUAGUAUGUGGAGGAUUUUAGUAAGUUAGCACGUUAUGCCCCGGAUGACGUUGCUACAGAUGCCACUAAGAAGGAGAAGUUCCUGGAAGGACUAAAUGAUGAGCUAAGCAUGCAGUUGAUGGUGGCAACCUUCAACAACUACCAAGAGUUGGUAGAUAGAGCUCUCAUGAUUGAAGGGAAGCAGCAGCAGAUUGACAACUGCAGGAGGAAGUAUGGACAAGGGAAGUACAAAUCAGGAGCUCAGCAGAGGCCCCGUUUUACCCCGAACUCGGGAGGACACAUUCACCAUAACUGUUGUGGAUAUUAUCUGCCAUGUGACCCGCCCUAGUUGGGCCGGUCACCAAGUGGGCGACUCAUACUUUGGUGGUUCAAGGUUUGGCCUAGAAGGCCCAGGAGCUGGAUGGCGGUUCAAGAUCUACAUGGAGGAUAAGUCAUCAGGGAGUCUUCGAGUCUUGGAAAGCACGGCGAUUUAGAGAUUAAAGGAAUCACGACUUGUGUUAUGGCAAGGACUCUUGUAAACCCUAGGGCCUCGACCUGUAUAUAAAGGCGAGCCCCUGGAGAGGGGAGGUCAGGUUAGAAAUCAUCGAGAGCUAGGUCAGGCGAGUUACGCCCUCCUUGUAAUCGAAACAUCAUCAAUACAACACUAGAAGGACAUAGGCUUUUACCUCACCACGAGGGGCCGAACCUGGGUAAAACCGAGUCCCUCUUCCACUCAAACCCCUUUGAGUCGCCACCAAGGUGCGAUGGCUCCAUCAUUAAGUCCUUUCACUAGGACAUCUGCCGUGAGAAAACCACGACAGUUGGCGCCCAUCGUGGGGCCUACGCACGGUGGAGUUGAGUUCUCGUAGGGAGCCCUACCAGGGUCAGGGAGCUACGCGGUUGGGCUCAUGACCCGGAGGCGCCGCGGAAAGUACUACAUCGACAACUCGCUGUGGGAACCCGAGGCCGAUUCGAUCAAAUCCGGCUACAAAGUCCCCUUCGGCAAGGUCAACAUCUUCAUCGGCAUGGUCAGAGCACCCAUGCCCGAGCCGGACAUCUUCACUGACACCGUCGAGCCAGCCAGGUAUGUCCGUCCCGUCGUGCCACAAAGCCCGACGCACCCAGUUUCCGUCGGCUUAACGCAGGGAUCUGAUGAGCCAGAGCGGUCGGCGAAUCGGGAGGCCACACCAGUCAACUCUGACGAGGAGUCAUCCAUGGGCGACACAGAUUCGAUCCAGUCCCUGCAUGAAGGCCGCCUCAAAGAUCUGUCGCUGGCGAUGGAUCCUGAAGUCCUCGACCGGACCCGCCGUCAGAUCGCCAUAUACAUGGCGGGGGCAACACAGUCCCAGCAAAACCCUGCAGGCAAUAACGAGGCUGGCGGCCCAUCCAAAAGCCUAGCUGAGGUCCUGGUGGACCUGUCGCUGGAGAUAACGAGGCUCAUGGCAACCCCCGUGAUGGCAGAAAACCAGGGAACGAUCAACGCCGAGUUGGCAAAGCUGCGAGAUGAGAUGGCGAAGGCCUAGCGAGAUGCAGAGGCAGAAGCCGCCAGGAUUGCGACCCAGCAAGCUCAGAUCACCGUGGAGACGGCCCACUUAAACACUGAGAACUUGUGACUUGAAAGACAACAGCGCGUGUCCGACGCUGUCCAUCCGAGGAGGCACCAGGGGAGUUUGCCCCUGAUCUGAACCCUACCCGCCUUUUCAACACUCCGCGUACCCCCGGGACGGGAACCGUUCCAGAGGGAGGGCCGGCUCAGCCACCAAACCCACCGCCUCAGCCAGCGGAUGAUCGCGUACCCCGUUUCCAUACGCCUCAGGGCCACUUUUCCAACCCCAUGGACAAUGUGCUCGCAGCGACUCGCCACUUGGAGUCCCUUCCAAUUUAUGGAAACACCCCGACUGAAAUAGAAGCAAGAAAUGCCAUUGAGAUGUUGAAAACGGCGGUGGUCUAGAACGUGCAAUUCUCACACAGCCUCGACCGGCUGCACUCCACCCCCCAGACGAGCCGCACCAGAAGUCGGCCGGAGGACCCACCCGCCGUAACUAGCGGACUGCGGCACCUACCUCAGGGUAACCCGCCCGACCAUCGGGACCCUCCCGCCCGCAACACCGUUGGUGCGACGGGCCAGGAUCAUCAAGGCCAGAUCCAAACCCACCCAGCGUCACUCAGCGGAGGUGGCAGGCACGUCGGGGUGCCGUGUUUGUCCAUUGCCCUGCACAACAAGCGAAUGCCGAAGGACUUCAAAGGUCCAAGGAAGGUGCCCAACUACACCCCGGAUCUUGAGCCGGCAUUGUGGGUUGAGAGUUAUGACCUCGUGAUGGACAUGCUCGACGUGAGUGAAGCGGCCUGUACCAGGUACUUCACAAUGAUGCUGGAAGGAACGGUGCGCACUUGGUUGAAAAACCUGCCACCCAACUCCAUCCAGACUUGGGCUGAACUGAAGGAGCAUUUCAUCAAAAACUUUCGAGGAACUUGCAAAUGCCCAAUGACGAUCGUCGACUUACAUCAUUGCAUUUAGCGGCCUGACGAGUCGGCUCAUCAUUGGACGCGGCGGGUUGCAGAACUCAUCCACUCGUCGGACGGCAUCACGGCGGCCCAGGCCAUGCUAAUUCUAGAGCAAAACUGCCACUACGAGCCCCUCGUACAGAAGCUGGGGCGACUCAAGCGCAAGGUCCAGGAUAUGGGCGAAUUGAUGGAUACCCUCACUCGGUACGCUGAAGCGAACGAUACCAAAGAUCCAGGAGAGGACAGUAGGAAGGCCAACCCGCCAAGGAAAGGCGAGUCAUCCAAGAAUCACUCCCAGUUUCAAGGACGCGCCCACCAUAAUCAUGGUGGAAAUGGCAAGAGAAGGCAGCAGGAAGGACCCACGGACUUCGUCGCCAAUACGAACGCUAACAAUGGCAACCAGCGCCAGAAGAAGAUGGGUUACAGUGGCAAGAAGCCGCGCAAUUAUAACGAGAUACUUAAGGACCCCUGCCCGCAUCACACCAUGACAGAAGGACCAGCGACCCACUCUUGGGAAGACUGCUACGUGAUGUAGGAAUUUCGGGCGGAGGCACUCAAGAAAGGCCAAGCCGGCGACCAGAGCCAACGGCAGGAACAGUUCGGUGCGCCUAAUCAACGUCAGAACCCGUUUGGCGGCUUUCCCAAACCAGGACCCCAGGGUGGCUCGCAACCAAGGAGUGGCCAGUUCCCGGUGCAUAACCAGCAGUGGUAUAACCCGCCCGGAGUGUUUCAGAAGCCACCCCCGCAGGGGGCUCCCAAGGGCAAGAUAAUAAUGGCGGAUUCCGCAGCAAUCCCAAGCAAUUAAACAGCGGACAAUACCAUGUAUUCACCACCAGUGCCUGUAAGCGAGACAAGAAGGUGAAGCACAGGACAUAUAGCGUGUCCGAGCCGGCGCUCUCCAGGUACCUCCAUUGGUGUGAGCAAACUAUCUCUUGGAGUAGGGAGGAUCACCCGCCCAGAAUUGACAACCCCGGUGACUUGGCAUUGGUCGUGGCCCCCCAAGUCGGGGGAUAUACCCUUUCAAAGGUUCUUAUGGAUGGUGGCAGCAGCAUCAACAUAUUAUAUUUCAACACCUUUCGAAGGAUGAACCUCUUGCAGAAGGACCUAAUCCCGUCAACCACGGUUUUCCAUGGUAUCGUUCCGUAUAAGUCGGCAUACCCAAUUGGGCGAGUCAAACUUAACGAGGCUUUUGGUACAACAUCCAAUUACAGGAGCGAGUCGCUUAUAUUUGAGGUGGUCAAGCUGAAGAGCCCUUAUCAUGCAUUGUUCGGGCGGCCGACUUACGCCUGGUUCAUGGCUCGCCCCUGCUAUGUCUACCUUAAACUCAAGAUGCCUGGCCCUAAGGGACCCAUCACGGUCGAUGGUGACAGGAGGAUAGCAAAGGAGUGUGAGGAAGGAGAUGCGGCUUACGCAGAAAUCGCUUGCGCCGCGGAAGAGCUCAAGUAUCACCAAGCCAAUGUUGACCUGUCGGAUAUGUCGCCUCUCAAGAAGCCAACAACUGAUGUUGAGCCGCUCCUCAAGUUUAAGCCGACGGAUGACACUAAGAUGGUGGACUUCACUCCUGGCGACUCGUCCAAGCAGUUCACUAUCGGGGCGGGUCUGGAUCCCAAAUAGGAAAGCGCGCUCAUCGAAUUCAUCAGUGAGAAUCGGGACAUCUUCGCAUGGAAACCUUCUGACAUGCCUGGUGUACCGAGAGAAUUCGCUGAGCACCAUCUUAAUGUUGACCCUAAAGCAAAGACGAUUCAGCAAUAUCUUCGCAGAUUUAAUGAGGAGCGACGCAAGGCGAUCGGAGAAGAAGUCGCCCGUCUUUUGGCCGCCGGAUUCAUCAUUGAGGUCUUCCACCCUAGAUGGUUGGCUAACCCGGUCCUGGUGCUCAAGAAGAACGACACUUUUCGCAUGUGCUUCGACUACACCGACCUCAACAAAGCUUGCCCAAAAUAUCCUUUCGCCCUUCCCCUCAUUCAUCAAAUCAUUGACUCGGUUGCGGGAUGCGAGCGUUUGUGUUUCUUGGACGCCUACUCCGGAUAUCACCAGAUCAAGAUAGCUGUGGAAGAUCACGAGAAGACGGCCUUCAUAACCCCAUUUGGGGCUUUUUCCUAUGUAUCCAUGCCGUUUGGGCUCAAGAGCGCUGGGGCGACUUACCAGCGUUGUAUCCAAAAGUGUCUCCACGGCCAAAUCGGACGCAACGUCCAUGCUUACGUUGAUGACAUCAUCGUUAAAUCUCGCAAGAAGGAGACGCUCUUGGAGGAUCUCAAGGAAACCUUUGACAAUCUGCUUGUGUAUCAGAUGAAGCUUAAUCCCACCAAAUGUGUCUUUGGUGUUCCUACAGGAAAGCUUUUAGGUUUUCUGGUGUCAGAACGCGGCAUUGAGGCCAACCCGUACAAAAUCGAAGCAAUCACCUCGCUUGGGAAACUAGCGAAUAUUAAUCAAGUCCAACGCAUGGCAGGUCGUAUUGCGGCCUUGAGUCGCUUUAUAAGCUGCCUGGGGGAGAAAGCCAUUCCCCUCUAUCAGUUGCUUAAGAAAGCUGAUCGGUUUGUUUGGACGGACGAGGCCAACAAAGCUUUUGAAGCCCUGAAGCAGCAACUGGUCAACCCACCGGUUCUGGCCGCCCUGACUGAAAAGGAGCCUAUGCUUUUGUACAUCGCGACGAAUACCAAGACGGUGAGCAUGGCAGUGGUUGUUCAACAGAAGGAAGAAGGAAAGGAAUACCCGGUACAACGCUCGGUGUAUUUUAUCAGCGAGGUUCUAAUCCUCUCCAAACAACGUUAUCCACAUUGGCAGAAGUUGGUUUAUGGGAUGUUUAUGGUGAGUCAGAAGCUAAAACAUUGUUUACAAGAAUAUCCUAUCAUGGUGGUUAGCUCCGCUCCUCUUGGGGAUAUCAUCCAGAACCGAGAAGCAACGGGACGAAUCGCCAAGUGGGAAUUGAGCUCGGGCCACACCACGUGCGGUAUACGCCUCGCACGGCUAUCAAGUCCCAGGCAUUGGUCGAUUUCAUCAAUGAUUGGACUGAGUUACAGAUUCCCGAAGACAGGCUUGAUCUCACGUACUGGACCAUCUACUUUGACGGGUCUAGGCAAUUGGAGGGCUCGGGGGCUGGCGUGGUGAUGAUUUCACCCUAGGGAGACAAGUUCUGUUAUGUUCUCCAACUCAUGUUCCCGUGUACCAAUAACGCUGCAGAGUACGAAGCCCUACUUCAUGGUUUGGACUAGCCAAUGAGAUGAACCUCACACGCGUCAGCUGCUUGGGCGAUUCCGAUCUGGUGGCACAACAAGCUUCAUGUACAUGGGAUUCCCGGGACCCCCUAAUGGUGGCACAACAAGUUUCAGGUACAUGGGAUUUCCAUGGUUAUCAAGUCGAUCAUAUCGACUGGCGACUUAAUGAAGCAGCUGAUGCCCUCUCGCGUCUCGGCUCGCAACGUAAGCCGGUUCCUCCUAAUGUCUUUGUGGAUAUUCUGCAUAAUCCUUCUGUGAGGUUGCCUUCAGAAGAGGAACUGGCGAUACCAGAUCCCGAGUCUCAGUUUGUGGCAGCUCUACGUGCUAUGCCGGAUUGGGUUCUUCCUUACUUGGCGUACCUCACGGGAGGCGAGUUACCUUCGGAUGAGGUGUUGGCCCAUCAAAUCGUUCGUCGGAGCAAGUCCAUUGUCGUCAUCAACGGCGAGUUAUACAAACUAAGUACUUCUGGGGUAUUUCAAAGAUGCGUUUCUUCUGAUGAAGGGUGCAUAAUUCUCAACGAGAUCCAUGCAGGAGAUUGCGGGCAUCACGCCGGGUCACGUUCCCUGGUUUCCAAGGAGUUCCGGCAUGGGUUCUUUUGGUUGACGGCUCAUGCGGAUGCAGAAGAGAUAGUUCGUCAAUGUGAUGGCUGUCAAUGUUUUGGACAACAGGUUCAUGUGCUGGCUCAAUAAUUAAGGAUGAUCCCCAUCACUUGGCCUUUUGCGGUCUGGGGGUUAGAUAUGGUUGGUCCCUUUAAGAUGUCAUCCAAUAAAAAGACUCAUCUACUGGUGGCGGUCGAUAAAUUCACCAAGUGGGUCGAAGCAGAGCCUGUUGGCAGCUGUGACGCGGAAACGGCCAUCAAAUUCUUGAAAAAAUUGAUAUCCCGGUUUGGAUACCCACACAGCAUUAUCACUGAUAAAGGUACCAACUUAUCACAAGGGGCGAUGCAGGAGUUUUGCAACCGGGAGCAUAUUCGGCUUGAUGUGUUUGCGGUUGCUCGUCCACAAUCUAAUGGGCAGGCAGAACGGGCGAAUCAGGAAGUGCUGCGGGGAAUCAAACCCCGACUUAUGUUUCCCCUGGAACGCACCCCAGGGUGUUGGGUUGAGGAGUUGCCUUCGGUAUUAUGGAGCAUUCGAACCACCCCGAAUCGUUCUAUGGGUUUUACUCCUUUCUUCUUGGUAUACGGAGUAGAAGCCGUUCUUCCCGGUGACAUUAGGCAUGACUCGCCCCGAGUCGCCGCUUAUGUGGAGUAGGAUAAUGAGUUGGCACAUCAAGAUUCUUUGGAUGCUUUGGAGGAAGCACGCGAGUUGGCUGCCUCCCGAUCGACUAUCUAUCAGCAAGACUUGCGGCGUUAUAAUAGCCUCCGGGUCAAGAGCCGAGCUUUUCAAGAGGGCGACUUAGUGCUCCGGUUGAUCCAAGAUCGCACUAGCAUGCAUAAGUUGUCACCGCCAUGGGAAGGACCGUUUGUCAUCAACAAAAAUCUUCGCAAUGGGUCAUACUAUUUGGUGGAUCUUCGGCCUGAUCGGCCAACGACGGAGGCUAAGUCAACUCGCCCCUGGAACAUAGCCCAUGUGCGGCCUUACUACACUUGAGCUAUUGGCUCCCCUUUUUCCUUUCUCUCCCAUCUUUGGAAAUUGUAAGUCCUUUGUUUAUAUAAAGCAAUAAAGUCGAUACCCACGAAUUUUGGGUUUUCCUGCCACUUCAUCUUCUUGAAAGCAUGGAUCUUUAUUGUCCUUCAACAAGUCACCCAAGCAUGGACGCUAUCAAUACCAGAGAGCAUAAGUCGCCAUGCUGCACUUAUUACAACACUGGGUAUCGAUAAGCCAAAGAGGAUCAAGUCGCUACAAGCGCACGAUUCAAACAUGGGCACCUUAUAUGAUUCUUAGGAUUAGGCCGGCUUACUUGGGGGCUAUCAGCUCCCAAGUCGUUUUGUGGUAAGAGCGUAUACGCUUCUACAAUCCUAUGACCAGUCUUUCCCCUAAUCAUAGGUCACUUGGGGGCUUCCUCUCACUGAGAUCAGCCUAACUACCCAUUUGGCUAGCGAAAAAUUACCGCACUAAAAAUGGUUAUACUGGACUGUGUGUUGGCCAAAUCGCCAUAUGGAACCAUGAACUCUUGGCGAGUCAAUCCGCUAUUUGGACCCUGAACUCACCUUGGUUAAAAUAUGCAUGGUACCGGCUAGUGCCCCACAUGGAAAAUAGAGAAACCAUUGGUUCAUUGAACCUGCUUCACCGAAGCUUGACUCGCGCCUGAUCAGCCGGUCUAAAUACUUGAUCUUUUUUGCACAAAAACUCUCCUUUGGGUAGCACUUGAGUUUUUCUAACUCGUCCUAUCCUGUCGCGAGUUGAACGAGCCAACGAAAUUCUUACUAUCACCUUCCUGGCACUGCCAUAAGGUUUCACAGAUCUAUGAGACUCGCCGUGUCUCGUUGAGCCGGGUUUCUUCAUACAAUUUGCCAAGACACCUUGAGUCGGUUAUUAUUUAUCAUCAUCCAUUACUCAUUGAGAUGGUUUGAUAUAUGCUUUUGCUAGCCAAACAGGUUGGUGAUCGAAUCUUUACUGACAUGGCGGGUCAAGCAUCAUGGCACUCCAAGGGCGGCACAAGGUUUUUUCAAAGGUCACAGAAGAGUUCCACAACAGACAUAAGCAAAGGAUUGUUUUCUACAAUGACCUAUUACAUGGCUCAGAUGGCCAAAUCAGUAGGGUCUAUUCUGCUGGUGCCUCCGGGUCAACUUGCCUCGAGCUGUGGCCGACUUCAAGUUGUAAAUCGCGAAGUACCCAAUUACACUUGGAUAGAGCGGCAAAUUCGUCUUCAUCGUUCANNNNNNNNNNNNNNNNNNNNNNNNNNNNNNNNNNNNNNNNNNNNNNNNNNNAGAUCCGACUCCAAAUCAAAAGGUUCUUGGAUCGACGAGGAGUUAAGCUGGUUGUCACAAAUGCAGGCGGGUUUACUUUCUUGUUCUUGUCAUCAUAAGUGGCUUGGUACUUUGAUAAAUCCAAACUUGCUGCUAGCUGAGUCGCCGCCGAGCGUGAUUCCUUGACGACGCAAUGAUAAUCAUCUUGAGUAAACUCUGACUCGUCAUCCUUGAGCUGUGGGAAGCCUGCUGCUACCUCUUCGGGCUUCAGUUCUGGAGCAUACGCCAAACACCGACACAAGGUAGCCAGCGCCCCUUCCGGGCGGCUGAUCGGGUUAGCUCACCUAUCUGAGGCGGAAGGGUGGAUAAGCAUCCAAGCAUCUUUUUGAUUCAUGUGAUUGGUUCCUUGGUGCCCAUCACUGCCUUCAUGAUCAGCAUGCUCCCAGUACACAGCUGCUCAGUCAGUGUGUAAAUCGCCUUUAACUUCAAGAUGCAGUCGUCCUGAAGGUUGGCGGCUCUCGGGCCUGCGUGAGAAAGACAAAUGAUGGUUCGUACUUUGUUUUUUUCACACUAAUUUUUUAUUUUAGAGAUACGAAACCAGGAAUUCCUUCUUACCAAAGAUGGUCCGUGUCAUGCUGGAAAUAUGUUUCUUUAAACCGGCCAGUUCUUGUUGCAUCGCUCCCAAUUUUGUUUCAGUCGUUUCAGCUCGCUUUAGCGUGGUGGCUUGAUCAACUUGAGAUUUCUUGUCGGCGGCUUUCAGCUUUUCCAUAUUAGCUAAGAUUUCCUGUUAUUUUUCUUCUGCUUGAGCCCGCGCGUCUUGCUGGUCGGCUAAACUUUUCUUUAAGUCGCCCAACGUUGACUCGGCUUGGGCUAUAGAUUCCUGUCAACAUAUUUUGGAGGGACAAGUCUCAGAAUUGUUGCAAGCAACAUCCCUGACACUUGGGGGCUAAUGUAUAAUUUAAAAAAAAAACAAAAUUAUACCACAAGCAAGACCCGACUCAUCUUUCAAUAGAUGACCCGACCCUUGGGGGUUACGGGUCAAAGAUUUUUUAUACAUCAAGACCCGGAUCAUCUUUCAAAAGAUAACCCGGCCCUUGGGGGUUACAGGUCGAAGAUUUUUUCUACAUCAAGACCCGGCUCAUCUUUCAAAAUAUGACGGGGGUUAUAGGUCGAAGAUUUUUUCUAAGUCAAGACCUGGCUCAUCUUUCAAAAGAUGACCCGACCCUUAUGGGUUACAGGUCGGAAGAUUUUCUAACGCAAGACCCGGCUCAUCUUUCAAUAAGAUGACCCGGGCCUUGGGGGCUAAUGAGGAGGGUAUGCAUUAAGGCGUACCUCAUGUUUAUUCUUCAUCAUAUGGAGUAGGUUCUUCUCCAUUUCAUAACUUGUUUCUAGGCGACUUGCGAAGCCGGAGCAGAGUUCAUCAAACUCAAGUUUUUCAUAUUGAGGAAGUUUGGCCUUGGAGAUCUCAUGUCUGGUGGAAGGAUGGGACGAUGUUGAUACAUGCUGUGAUAAGAUUGCUGAAGCCGGCUUAGAGAAGACAGUACUAGUAAUGACCACAACAUCAGGAUCUUCAGCCGCCUUCAACGGACUUGGCGGGUUGGUUGUUUCCAUGCCUUCCUUGGGAGAACUUGGAAGGUCAAUUCGGUCAUCAGUAUAUCUUUUGUCGGGUCAACAUGAGCCGGUGCUGGGUCUUCUUUAAGCUGUGGGGCAGAAGGAGUGGAAGUUGGGCCGCCGGUUUUCCUCUUCUUUGCUUGCGCUCUAAGAAAAAUAGGGUCAUGUUUAAAGCAAGCAUCAUUAUCAUCAGGAAAGACAUAAGUAUUAUAAGGACUUACCAUUGUACGCGAAUCAUUGGCGGAAGGGCCGACAUCACUGAGUAGCCCGAUGAAGGGGGGAAAGUCUGCAAAAGUAAUAUCUCAAAAUAUGAGCGAGUUACAAGUGUGAUCCAAUAGAAAACAAAGGUAGAAAUUGAUAGAGGGUACCUCCUUUCGCCGUUUCUUGGUAGGGGUUUUUAUUGGUAACCCGAACAUCAAAUCCACUGAGUGGCUUCGAGUUUUCCGAAAGGAAGUGUGUUGCGACUUCUUCAAGAGGAAAUUAGGGUCUAGACAAGCAUUCGGGUGAGACAUGGGAACUUUCCCACAAACUCGCCUGGCCGACUUAGGCGAAGGAGAAGUUGAGUCGGAAGAAAUGGAAAUUACCUCUACGGCGUCAUCCUGGCUUUCGUUAUCAUCAUUCUAUACAUGGAAAUGCAGAGAUAUAAGCACAAAUUAGAGUAAAAGUGCGUCAAGACAAAAAGGAUAAAAUUUUACCUCUGAAGACGCUUCGCCGACUUGGGAUUCGUCCACAUCAGACGAUUUGGCGACAGCGGCUUGGUUUUUACCCUUGGACUUCUUUUUAGGAGGCGAUUUGGUUUGCUUCAGGGCAAGCUUCUUCGGCCUUCGUGACCAGAAUCGGUCGCCCUUCUGAGGUGGAAUUAUCAUUAUGCAAGUCAGAAUCCGGGUAAGUUGNNNNNNNNNNNNNNNNNNNNNNNNNNNNNNNNNNNAAAGAGUGAACCAAGGGCGGGCCAAAUUAUUUACCUUAGGAGCCGGGUUAAUCUUGCAAAAUGGCCUAAGCCCUAUUUGGCUACAUUUGGCCAAAGGCUCGCCGGUUUGCUUCUUGAUGAUGCUCACAAUGUCUUCCUCUGUGAGUGCUAUGUGGAAGUAGCAUUGAGGAUGGUUCAAAGUACCAGCAAACUUGCACAUCAAGCCGUCUAGGCGACUCAAGGGAAGGAUGUGCCAUUCCACCCAGCAGCGGAUCAGAUCAACUCCAGUAAGACCAAUGUUUGUUAAAGAUCGUAACUCGGAUAGCACUCGAAUGAAAUCUGAUUCAUCUUCUUCGGUGAGCUUGUCAGGAAGUUUGAAGUUUGUGGGCAGACGCUCCUUCCUGUAGCCUAGGAGUUUGUUCUCACCCAGAGGAGAAGUGUCCCGAUAAUAAAACCAAGACUCGGCCCAGCCUUUGGGGUGGCUGGGCAUGGCGAGUGAUGGGAAUGGACUGUCCUUGCGUUGUUGAACAUUAACCCCUCCAAGUUCUAAGCUAGGGCCAUUGGAGAACUCGGUCUGGCGAUUCAGGUGGAAGAAAUACCAAAACAAAGUGACCGACGGUUCCAUUCGUAGGUAAGCUUCACAGAAUACCUGGAAUUAGCACAUGUUGCUGAUCGAGUUGGGGCCCAGGUCUUGUAGGCAGAUGUUCAUAAAAAACAUAGCAUCUCUGAGGAACUUUGACCCUGGCUGCUAAAACCCUCGUUCGAGGUGGUCAGCAUAAACAACUAUUUCCCCUUCGGCCGAGUUGGGAAUUUCGUCGCCUAGUCCAGAUCGUCAUCCAAUGACUUCCUACGGGUCAAGGUUCCAUGUAUUUACGCACUGCUCGAGGAAGGUGUCGUCAAUUUUGGUCGGGAGCCAGUCGGCCUUAAAAACGGUACCCAUAGCUACAGAGGAAAAGGUCAUGGGUAAGUUAACCCGCCAAAACGCUUGUCGAGUGGUUGGGAGAAUCUAUUAACUGGCCAACAAGGGACCAGGUUUGGGCACGAGGGCGAUUUAGGAAUUUCCCAUUACUCACAGGAGGUACCUCAGGGCAUCAAAAACAUGCAGAAAAAUGACGAGGCAUGAAUCUACAAACAGUCUUCUACAUAGCAAGCAAUGCAACGGGGAUGUGCGAGCAAGGUAAAAUAACGGAGAAAACCUGGAUAAAGUGAAACAGAUCACGGUUGAAAGCAACUACGGCAGGGGUGAUUUAACCAAAGCCCUCUUGGUUCUCUAAACCGAAAUUAAAUGGAUUGGAGAUGUGGUCGGUGCUAAUAUGCUAAGCUACCACAUUGGAUCGAUUGGCAAACGCCGAGGAGUUCAAGGAGUUCUAGGGCGCAGCGAAUGGCGAACGUUGAAAGGCUCGGAUCUGUUCGUAAUGGUGGAAGACUAACCUGUUAAACAACGUCCGGAGGCGAUUGUACAGACCCGCGGUGGAGAUGGUGUGCCCGUUUAGCUCGACGAUGCGACGGACGCAGUGGCCGACGGCGGAGACCCUCGGGCGACGAUGGAGCUCGUCGGGCGGCGGCGGAGUUCCUUGUGUGGCUUCGAGGAAGAAGAAGAAACAGAAGAAGAAUGGGCAAAGAUUCCCUCUGCCCCCAUUCUCGAGCCUAUUUAAUAGGUCAGGUGCGGGGAUCAAGGCGCCUCGCGCAGGAACCGAAGGGGGCAAAUUAAAGAUUCGCACUUAUGGCUCCAAUAUUUUCGGGAUAUUUGCGCCGAGAGAUCCGUUGGGGAUUGCGUCAUCAUUUUCUGGAAUUAAAGGGAUAAGGUGACGUCACCGUAAACGGUUCGGCGACUUGGGUAUUUCCAUGGUGGAUGGCGGCUUAAGCGUAUGGUGCACGAGAAAGGUGGAAUGAGUCGUUCCUAAAGUAGGUAAAAGUUUAUUGGCGUGAACAGGUUCAAGUCAAUAUGGGGCCUAAUGNNNNNNNNNNNNNNNNNNNNNNNNNNNNNNNNNNNNNNNNNNNNNNNNNNNNNNNNNNNNNNNNNNNNNNNNNNNNNNNNNNNNNNNNNNNNNNNNNNNNUAAGUCAUCAGGGAGUCUUCGAGUCUUGGAAAGCACGGCGAUUUAGAAACUAAAGGAAUCACGACUUGUGUUAUGGCAAGGACUCUUGUAAACCCUAGGGCCUCGACCUGUAUAUAAAGGCGAGCCCCUGGAGAGGGGAGGUCAGGUUAGAAAUCAUCGAGAGCUAGGUCAGGCGAGUUACGCCCUCCUUGUAAUCGAAACAUCAUCAAUACAACACUAGAAGGACAUAGGCUUUUACCUCACCACGAGGGGCCGAACCUGGGUAAAACCGAGUCCCUCUUCCACUCAAACCCCUUUGAGUCGCCACCAAGGUGCGAUGGCUCCAUCAUUAAGUCCUUUCACUAGGAAAUCUGCCGUGAGAAAACCACGACAAUAACCAUGGAGGCCAUCAUUCCAAUGGAGGGAGUUUGCAUAAUCAUAAUGGCCCCAAGAAUGGGAAUGGGAAUGGAGGAAGCAACGGACAGAACCGUUCCAACCCAGCAACGCCCGCCAAGAAGGAUCUAAGUCACAUUAGUUGUUUUUAGUGCGGGAAUAAUGGACAUUACGCCAUGGAGUGUCCUAAAGCAAAGAAUGGAAAUGGCAAUGGAAGCUCUGGGAAUAAGCCCAACCCUUUCAACAGGGGACAAGUGAACCAUGCUAGCAUGGAGGAGGUUGAAGCGCAACCCGAUUCAGUACUAGGUAAGUUUUUGGUUAGGUCAUUUACUGCAAUCGUUCUUUUCGAUACUGGAUAAGUAUAACCUGCCAACCCAAGCCCUUAGGUCACCCAUGUUAGUAACCUCGCCAGGAGCAGAGUACAUGGCUAGCCUAUGGUGUGAUCUGUUACCAUUAAGGAUUGGUAACUACGUGUUCCCCUCAGACCUAAUAGUAUUGGAGUCACAAGGACUGGAUGUAAUAUUAGGUAUGCAUUGGUUAUUGAAGUAUGGAGGGAACAUUGACUGCGCCAGUAAGUCGAUUUUUCUCACCAGCCCAGAAGGAAGAAGGAUUAAGUAUGUAUCCCGGCAUGUGCCGAAGAGAACUCUAGUAAAUUCCUUAUCAGGAGUUGUACAGGAGGAAGUACUAGUGGUGAAGGAUUUCCCUGAUGUAUUCCCAAAGGAGUUGCCAGGCAUGCCACCAGACAGAGACAUUGAGUUUUUGAUUGAGCUUUUGCCAGGCACAGGGCCAAUAUCUAAGAGACCGUAUCGGAUGCCCGCAAAGGAUUCGGAAACAAUUAAGAAAUAGAUUAAGGAGUUACUGGAUAGAGGCUAUAUUCGCCCAAGUUCGUCACCUUGGGGAUCACAAGUGCUUCUAGUGGAGAACAAGGAUGGAUCGUUGAGAAUGGUAGUGGAUUAUCGAGGAUUGAAUGAAGUGGAAAUGAAGAACAAGUAUCCACUGCAAAUGAUCAAUGAUUUGUUUGACCAAUUGCAAGGAGCUAAAUUAUUCUUCAAGAUCGAUCUGCGAUCACGAUACCACCAGCUAAAGGUUUGAGAGCAGGAUAUACCUAAGACAGCUUUUACCACAAGGUAUGGGCUAUAUGAGUAUACCGUUAUGUCAUUUGGUCUCACUAACGCACCUGCCUAUUUCAUGAACAUGAUGAACAAGGUGUUUAUGGAGUUUUUGGAUAAGUUCGUCGUGGUGUUCAUUGAUGAUAUUCUGGUCUACUCGAAGAAUGAAGAGGAGCAUAAGGAGCAUUUGUGUUUGGUACAUGGGAAACUCCGAGAACAUCAGUUAUAUGCGAAGUUCAGCAAGUGUUAGUUUUGGUUGAAGGAAGUUGGUUUCCUUGGACAUGUUAUAUCCGAAGAAGGAAUAGCAGUAGACCCCACCAAAGUUGUCACAGUGACUAAUUGGGAACCACCCACGUCAGUUGGAGAGAUCUGGAGUUUUCUUGGACUCGCAGGAUACUACCGGAGAUUCAUUGAGAAUUUCUCUAAGAUUGCAAAGCCCAUGACGGAGUUGUUGAAGGACACCAAGUUCAAAUGGACUGAGGAAUGUGAAGCCGGUUUUCGGGAGUUGAAGAAACGCUUGGUUACAGCCCCACUGCUGAUUCUCCCCGAUCAACGCAAGGAUUAUCAAGUGUAUUGCGACGCUUCUCGUCGAGGACUUGGAGCAGUGUUGAUGCAGGAGGGAAGAGUUGUUUCGGAUGCCUCAGGACAGCUUAAACCCCAUGAGUUGAACUAUGCUACCCAUGAUUUGGAGUUAGCAGCCGUAGUGCAUGUGUUGAAAAAGUGGAGACAUUUUCUCACCGGAAACCACUGUGAGGUGUACACAAAUCACAAGAGUUUGAAGUAUACUUUCACACAGAAGGAGUUGAAUCUUAGACCAAGGAGAUGUUUGGAGCUCAUCAAGGAUUUUGAUAUGAGGUUGCACUAUCAUCUCGGAAAGCCUAAUGUAGUAGUCGAUGCGUUGAGUCGCAAAAGUCAUGUCAAUACACUCAUGACCAGAGGAUUACCUGAGGAGUUAGCAGAAGAUCUUCGCGAGCUAUGGUUGGAAAUAGUUUCGAGAGGUUAUGUACUAGCAUUGGAGAUUCAGUCUACCCUGAUGGAUAAGAUUAGAGAAGCCCAGAAGACUGACAAAGAGAUUGCCAAGAUAAAGGAAAGGAUGAGCAAAGGAAAGGCUAAAGGAUUUCGUGAGGAUGAGCACGAUACCUUAUGGUUGAGGAUCGCGUAUAUGUGCCUAAUGACCCCGAGAUCAGGAAGUUGAUUCUGCAGGAGGCCCACGAUUCACCGUAUUCGAUUCACCCAGGAAAUACCAAGAUGUAUCUGAAUUUGAAGGACAGUUUCUGGUGGACCGGAAUGAAGAACGAUAUUGCGGAGUAUGUAGCAGUUUGUGAUGUAUUUCAGAGAGUGAAGGCGGAGCAUCAGAAGCCAGCAGGUUUGCUACAACCAUUGCAGAUACCCGAAUGGAAGUGGGACAACCUAGGAAUGGAUUUUAUAACGGGAUUGCCCAGGACUCGUUCAGGCUAUGACUCGAUUUGGGUUAUAGUCGAUCGUUUGACGAAGGUAGCUCAUUUCAUCCCAGUAAAGACCGCUUACACCAGUGCUAAGUUGGCAAAGAUAUACAUGACCAGGAUCGUAUGUCUGCAUGGAGUUCCGAGGACCAUUAUAUCAGAUAGAGGAACCCAGUUUACCUCAUAGUUCUAGAAUCAGUUGCAUGAAACGUUGGGUACCAGGCUAGAGUUUAGUACAACCUUUCAGCCUAAGACAUAUGGACAGACCGGGAGAGUCAAUCAGAUUUUAGAGGACUUGUUGAGAGCUUGUGCGCUAGAUUAUGGAUCUAGUUGGGACGACAAUUUGCCGUAUGCAGAGGUAUCUUACAAUAAUAGCUAUCAAGCCAGUUUGAAGUUGGCCCCUAUCGAAGCCUUGUACGGAAGGAGGUGCAGGAUACCGUUGUUAUGGGAUGAAGUUGGAGACCAUCAGUUGUUUGGACGGGAUUUGAUUAAGGAGUCUGAAGAGAAGGUUAAGUUUAUUCGCGAUAGACUCAAGGUAGCCUAGUCCAAGCAGAAGAGUUAUGCGAAUUCAAAACGCAACGAGACAAUUCAUGAAGUUGGAGACAAAGUUUAUCUUUGUGUGUCCCCACUUCGAGGUGUUAAGCAUUUUGGAGUUAAGGGAAAGUUAUCACCAUGUUUUGUGGGACCAUAUAUAGUUUUGGAGCGUAUGGGAGAAGUUGUUUAUAGGUUGGAAUUGCGAGAAGGAUUGUCAGGAGUUCCUGAUGUGUUCCAUGUUUCCCAGUUGAAGAAGUGCCACACAGAUAUGGCCAAUAUUCCUGUAAGAGAUACAGUGCCACUGGAAGCGAUUUAGUUGGAUAGCGAUUUAACUUACGAGGAGAAACCAUUGAAGAUUCUCGAGUUUGCCAGCCGAGUCACACGCAUCAAGGUUAUCAAGUUCUGCAAAGUUCAAUGGAGCCACCAUACCGAGGAUGAAGCCACCUGGGAAUGAGAAGAAGACCUACGGUAGGAUCACCCACACCUAUUCUCUAGCCAACCCGAAUCUCAAGGGCGAGAUUCAUCUGAAGGGGGUAGGUUUGUAACAUCCCGAAUUUUCAAUUUGGAAUGUUAUGCAUUAGAUCAUCAUUGCAUAUCAUAUUUUAUUGCAUUCUUGGUUGAUCCUAGAAAUUCUACGCAACUCAAGGACCCACGGAGAGUGUUGGGGAAUUUUCUAUUUUCAUAAUUGAGUUUUCCCAAAUUUUGAAAAGAGGAUCAUUCGGUUUUAAUUAUUUUCUCUUCAAAUAUUUCUAAAUAUAAAAUAAAACAGAGGGGAUAAAAUGACUUCCCCCAAAGAAAGAAAUAUUGGUGGAAAAAUAUUAAAAUCAAAUAGGAAUUUUAUUCAGAGUUUUAUUGCUAUUUUAUUUCAAUUAGAAAAAAUCCGUUUUUCAAAAUUGCAUUAGAGGCCCCAAUAAAUGUUCACCUUGUUCGUCAUAUUUUUAGAGGACGGGGAAAAUUUAUUUCAAGACUUUUGGAGUCUGUUUGAUAUUUCUUUUUAUUUAUCUUCUCCGCAUCGGAAUUAUUUAAAAAAAAGUCAAACCAUUUAAACGGGCCAUGUCCGACCGGGACUCUAUCCCGUCGGCCUUUAUAAGCCCAGCCGAGGCGCCCCGGAAACCCUCGUCGCCGCGCCGCUCAGCCGCGCCGCCGCCGCGCCGCCCAGCCGCCUCGCCGCCGUGCCGCCUCGCCGCCCCAUCGCCGACCCCGCCCUGAGGUAACCGGGUUUUUUAAAUAAAACCCUAGAUUUAUUUUUAGAUCAGUUUUAUUAUUUUAUUUCCGGUUUAUUUAAUUAGCGUACGUUCGUCUGUACGUUCGUUUUAACGAACGAUGUUCAUCCGUUAGCCGCAGACAGCGAACGUUCGUUCGUUAGCCUGUUUGUCAGUUUUUAUUUUUCCAUGGAUUUUCCACGAUUAUUUCUGAUCGCGAUUUCUGGACUGAUUUUCGUUUUAGUUUAUCUUUUCGCUCGUUUAUCGGAAUCAGGUGGUUCAAACGCCCAGAUCUUUUUCUCGAAACCCUCUUUCUGUUUAACCAACUUGAACAAGAUUUUUGUACUGUAAAAGUUGACUCUAGUCCAAAUUAGUAAACAAACUUGUUUCUUUCGCAGUUUGAGUUUCGCUGCUUCAUUUGUUUUGAUUCUUUUUGCAAACCGGAGUUCUUCAGUUGAACUUUCUGGUUAGAUCUCUUAUCUGAGUUUUCCCCGUGCAUCUAGUUUGAGUGCUUAUGUAUGUUAUUGUUUGUUUACGAUAGAGUACCCGGAGUGCGAAGCGUGCUACUAGUCUCUAGGUUUUGUGGAUCAUCAGCAAGGCAACUAACCCUUUGAUCAUACCUCUUUACUACCAAGUUUUAUUGCAUCAGAUCAACCCUCAACAUUGCAUGGUUAGGAUAUGAUUAACAUGUGGGUUUUGGGAAGUAGAUGAUGAGGUAGAACCUAUUGUCCUGUUUAUUAUCAAAUCUUUGGGAGUUACUUCUACGAUUUGCUUAUUGCUAUGCUAUGCUCGUUGACGUGGAUUGGGUGAGUGUAUCCAUGACAGAUGUGAGUAUUGUUAAUUAAUUGUUCACUUAAGGUGGCUACUUGAAUACACAUCUGGGUGGAUUGCUUGAGGCACCUUGGGGUACCCAGUGGUCGUCAGGGCACCUGGAGAAAUCCAGUGUUGUCCUAGGAUAUCACGGAGUAACCGUGUGAUCAUCCUACGGUCCGGCACACAGGCUCAAACGAAUCAUAAGAUUAUUCAUUCUAGAAACUUCCGUGGGCAGCCACAAGCCAUUAUGGGCUCUGGCAUAGUUGAGUAAGUUGCGUGAAGCUCUUGAAGCGGUAGACUAGCAGAUGUAGUGGGUUGUAGGUGGUACGGUCUACCGAGAGUAGAGAGUUAAUGCUUCAGAAAGACUAUGUCUUGAAUCUCUGACCAUGGAUGUAUUCGAGUCUUGUGGGAAAAGUGUGCAAACCUCUGCAGAGUGUAGAAACUAAUCAUCGUUAGCCGUGUCCCCGAUUAUAGACAUCUUGAGUAUCUGGUUCCUGGAUUAUCAUGUUGAUCUCAUCACUCUAAAUAAAUUUGUUGGGUUUAAUGAUGAUGCUUAAUUGGGAUUGAGNNNNNNNNNNNNNNNNNNNNNNNNNNNNNNNNNNNNNNNNNNNNNNNNNNNNNNNNNNNNNNNNNNNNNNNNNNNNNNNNNNNNNNNNNNNNNNNNNNNNGGUUGCCUUCAUUUUAUGGAAAGCAAUGUAUUUGUGAACAAUGAUAUCAAGAUUUUUCAAGGAAUAAUUUGGAUACCUUUCCUAUAUGUCUUUCCACAAAGUAUGAGCACACUCAAAGUUUUGCAACUGAUUAAUCACGUUUCUUGGUAAACCUCUAAUGAUAAGAUUGACGGUGUUGAGGUUGCCAAGCAUGUUAACUUCAUCAUCAUGAGAAGGAUCUAUGGGGUCAAUGGGAGGUGCAUAGGGAUAUUCAAUAUACUUGCGCAAAUGGAACUCAUCGAAUAUGUCAAGCUUUUCGUCUUUCCAUUGUCUAAAGUACUCCCCAUCAAAAAUAGGCACUCUACAACUAAAAAUCUAAGAACUAGUCACAUUCAUCUUCCUCCAAUGGCUGUUAAACCAAGGUUUUGGUGACCUUGCUCUGAUACCACUUGAGGGAUCGAUAUAAGAUGUCUCUGGGGGGGGGGGAAUAUGCUACUUGUCAAGAUAAAAUUUCUAGCCUAGCCAAAUUUCUAGGAGGGCAGAAAUCUAGCAGUUCUAACAAGUCCACAUACCCUACACAAGCAGUUCUAAGAGUCUAGCAGCGGAAAGUAAAACAUGCAAGUGUAAAGUAGAGGAGAAGGGAAGCAAGAUCAAACGCAUGGGGUUGACACGAUAAUUUUUGGCAUGGUUCCGAUAGGUGGCGCUAUCGUACGUCCAUGUUAGUGGAGACUUCAACCCACGGAGGGUAACGGCUGCGAGAGUCCAUGGAGGGCUCCACCCACGGAGGGUCCACAAAAAAACAGCUUUGUCUAUCCCCCCGAGGCUUCCUUCCACGGAGGACUAGUGUUACUCACGGUAGAUAUUCAUGAAGUAGGAGAUAUCCUUGCCCUUACAAACAUCUUUGUUCAACUCCACAACAUGAAGUAGGAGGCUCCCAAGCGAGACCUAACCAAUCUAGGAGGCACCAUGCUCCAAAAGGUAAUAUAUGUGGUAGAUCAAUGAACUCCUUGCUCUUGUGCUUAUAAAGAUAGUCUCCUCAACACAAAUAUCUCUCUCACAGAAUAUGCAUGGGUAGGAGAGGUUGACUUGGUGGAAAGCAGUUUGGGGAGGCUAGAGAUCAAUAUUCAAAUGAUUGGAUUGGAAUAUUUUGGAAUAUUCAAGGUAAUAUGUUGGUGACACCGAAUUUGUGAAUGUGGAACUUUAUAGAGUGGAUAUGUGGGAACAAUGACCGAGUGUUUUGGUGGCUAACUUUGAGCAUUUGAGCAAUCAGUUCAUUUUACUACCUCACCCGCUUUUAAUAGUAUUGGCUUUCCUAUGGACUCCAAAGUGAUUUCUCACAAGUAUGAAAUGAAGAGUCUUCUAGCUUGAAGCUUGAGCCAAUAUUAUUCCUUUCUUGCAUCCAGGGGCAUCUCCACAUAAACCUUAAGCCAUAGCUCUUCAUGGACUAAACCUGAAAUAUCUAGGUAAAAGUAUUAGUCCAAGAGGCAAUGUAUGUUGUCAUGAAUUAUCAAAAUCACCAAGGGAGUAUCUGUGCUUGCAAUGGUGUUGCAAUACGUUCUUGAUUCUCUUAUAGUGGGUGGCUAGAGUGACACAAGAUUACACCCGAGUAAGGGGGUUGUUGCGUAUGGUAGUAAAUGGGAAUUGAUGUUUACUGCUAUUGUUGGGUUUACCUUAAUGAUUUCUUGGAUUUGCGGAUUCUUGCUAGAGGUCCAAUCAUAAGUUCAUAUGAUCCAAGUAUGAAAACUAUGUUAGCUCAUGCCUCUCCGACAUAUAAAAUUGCAAUAAUGAUUACUGAUCUUGUUAUCAAUUACCUUGGAAAAUUCCGCACACCAUACCAUAAUUAUUCCACCCUUGCUUUUUUUAAUAUAAUAUAAUAUAUGCUAAAUUAUUUAGGCAUCAACUAUUUUUCAUAUUUUAGUUCUCCAAUAUCAUGCAAAGCUAUCCUCUUUAUACCUAGAGCACAAUUUUAUUUCUCCUUUCUAGUUAGAAGCAACUAGUGUGUGUACAUGGAGUUGUAUUAGUCGCAUAUAGGACUUGACAGAAUAUUGAUCUUACUUUUAGCUCCUUGUGGGUUUGACACUCCAUACUUACUACUUCCAUAUUUGGAAAGUGCUAUGAUGAUUCCUUGCACUUGGGGAUCAUCAGUCUCUAGUNNNNNNNNNNNNNNNNNNNNNNNNNNNNNNNNNNNNNNNNNNNNNNNNNNNNNNNNNNNNNNNNNNNNNNNNNNNNNNNNNNNNNNNNNNNNNNNNNNNNCUCACUUUGCAAACAAUCUAUAAGGGAUUGACAACCCCUUCAUAGUGUUGGGUGCAAGCUCUUUGUGUUUGUGCAGGUACUUGUGACUUGACUCGAUCCUCCUACUGGAUUGAUACCUUGGUUCUCAAACUGAGGGAUAUACUUACCGCCGCUGUGCUACAUCACCCUUUCCUCUUCAAGGGAACACCAACGCAAGGCUCCAAGGCCGCGGGGCUACAUCACCCUUUCCUCUUCAAGGGAACACCAACGCAGGGCUCCAAGGCCGCGAGGAAAUCCUUUGCAUAUUUGCCAAGGAAGUCCAUAUAGGCGUAGCCCGUAGCAGAAGGAUUCCUGGCGCCGUUGCUAGGGAAGGUCUUUUGUUGCCGUAGCAGUACCCUUGGAUAGCAAGGAUGGACGUCGUUCUUUUAUCGUUUGUCUUCGUACGUAGUCGGACCCUGCUCUUCAUCAUGAUGACUGUAUAUUGUUGUAUUGAUGUGAUCUUGAUGUAUCUUGUGGCAAGUGUAAGCCAACUCCUUAUACUUAUCUUUUCAGUACAUGUACUUGUAACGAUAUCCAUUCUUGCGAAACGGCGAGAUGUGUUUCAAUUCCUGUCGAGGCCCUCGCGCCAAAAUAAGGAUAGGACCGCAUCUUGGGUUUUACAAUGUGGCACUAAGAUAUAUUGUGAUGUGCUGACAAUUUGGUUAGUGGAACUAAUGCCAGUUUGUAGAGUUUACCUCGGGAUAUUGGUUUCACGGAGAUCCCAUUGGAGUUGUGUGACCACCCAUAAUAGGGGAUUUGUGGUGCGAGAGUUGCAACCUGAAAAGUGCAUGUGGCACUAAGAUAUAUAGUGAUGUGAUGACAAUCUGGUUAGUGGAACUAAUAUCAGUUUGUAGAGUUUAUCUUAGGAUAUUGGUUUCACAGAGAUUCCAUUGGACUUGUGUGACCCCCCACCAUUCAAAAAGGUCAAGUCGUAUUUACCGAUGACUCAAAGGUUUUUGUUGGUUUGAUUUGAGUCGUAUGAAAAUCGCACUAUCAAGAGGGGUCAUCAUGGAUGUGUCAUGUGUGAAUGCCUCCAAACUUAUACACCAGCCAUCCUACACCUACGACCAAGAAUCCACUUAUAAUGUGCUUUUUGAGGUGUCUUGUGAGCUUCAACAAAAACUCUCUCGACACCCGAGGUUCCACGAAACUCUCUUGACAUCCCAUGAUCACGGGGUCCUAGACCCUCGUGUGCACNNNNNNNNNNNNNNNNNNNNNNNNNNNNNNNNNNNNNNNNNNNNNNNNNNNNNNNNNNNNNNNNNNNNNNNNNNNNNNNNNNNNNNNNNNNNNNNNNNNNCCAAACAUUUUGAGUAUGUGCUCACUGACAGAACUGUUCUCCUCCAUCUUACAGCUAAAGAACUUGUCGGAGACUUCAUAUCUCUCGACACGAGCAUGAGCUUGAAAAACUAGCUUCAGCUCCUGGAACAUCUCAUGUGCUCCGUGUUGCUCAAAACGCCUUUGGAGCCCCGUUUCUAAACUGUAUAACAUGCCACACCUAACCAGAGAGUAGUCAUCACUCCGCGUUUGCCAGACGUUCAGAAUGCCCUGGGCUGCCGCGGGAGCGGGAGGGUCACCUAGCGGCGCAUCAAGGGCAUAAGCCUUUUUAUCUGCCUCAAGGAUGAGCUNNUAGCGGCGCAUCAAGGGCAUAAGCCUUUUUAUCUGCUUCAAGGAUGAGCUUCAAGUUGCGAACCCAGUCCGCAUAGUUGCUACCAUCAUCUUUCAGCUUGUUUUUCUCUAGGAAUGUGUUGAAAUUGAGGUUGACGUUGGCCAUCUACAAUAUUUAUAAAGACAAACCUUUUAGACUAAGUUCAUGACAAUUAAGUUCAUUUAAUCAAAUUAAGUAUGAACUCCCACUUAAAUCGACAUCCCUCUAGUCAUCUAAGUGAUACAUGAUCCAUGUUGACUAACCCGUGUCCGAUCAUCACGUGAGACGGACUAGUCACCAUGGUGAGCAACUUCAUGCUGAUCGUAUUCAACCAUACGACUCAUGUUCCACCUUUCGUGCUGAUCGUAUUCAACCAUACGACUCAUGUUCGACCUUUCGGUCUCUUGUAUUUGAGGUCAUGUCUGUACAUGCUAAGCUCGUCGAGUCAACCUAGGUGUUUCGCGUGUGUAAAUCUGGCUUACACCCGUUGUAUGCGAACGUUAGAAUCUAUCACACCCGAUCAUCACGUGGUGCUUCGAGACAACGAACCUUCGCAACGGUGCACACUUAGGGGAAUACGUUCUCGAAAUUUUAAGAGGGAUCAUCUUAUUAUGCUACCGUCGUUCUAAGCAAUAAGAUGAAAAACAUGAUAAACAUCACAAUACAAUCAUAUAGUGUCAUGAUAUGGCCAUUAUCAUCUUUGCUCUUUCGAUCUCCAUCUUCAGGCAUCGCAUGAUCAUCACCAUCACCGGCAUGACACCAUGAUCUCCAUCAUCAUGAUCUCCAUCAUCGUGUCUCCGUGAAGUCGUCACGCCAAUUACUUCUAUCACUACCACUAUGGCUAACCGUUAGCAAUGAAGUAAAAGUAGUAAGCACAUGGCGUUGCAUCUCAUACAAUAAAUUAAGACAACUCCUAUGGCUCCUGCCGGUUGUCAUACUCAUCGACAUGGAAGUCGUGAAACCUAUUACAAUAACAUGAUCAUCUCAUACAUCAUACAUGCAACAUCACAACUUUGGCCAUAUCACAUCACAUGUCAAACCGUGCAAAAACAAGUUAGACGUCCUCUAAUUGUUGUUGCAAGUUUUACGUGGCUGAUUUGUGUUUCUAGCAAGAACGCCUUCUUACCUAUGUGAAAGCCACAACGAUGAUAUGCCAAAGCUAUUUACCCUUCAUAAGGACCCUUUUCAUCAAAUCAAUCCGACUAGAGUAGGAGAGACAGACACCCGCUAGCCACCUUUAUGCACGGUGUGCAUGUCUGUCGGUGGAACCAGUCUCACGUAAGCGUACGUGUAAAGUCGGUCCGGGCCUCUNNNNNNNNNNNNNNNNNNNNNNNNNNNNNNNNNNNNNGGGCCUCUUCAUCCCACAAUACCACCGGUAAAGAAUAAGACUAGUAGCGGCAAGCAAAUUGACAAAUCAUCGCCCACAACUUUUGUGUUCUACUCGUGCAUAGAAUCUACGCAUAGAAAACCUGGCUCGGAUGCCACUGUUGGGUAACGUAGCAUAAAUUGAAAAUUUUCCUACGCAUAUUCAGAUCUUCCUAUGGAGAGACCAGCAACGAGAGAGGGGUAAGAGCAUCUUCAUACCUUUGAAGAUCGCUAAGCGGAAGCGUUGCUAGAACACGGUUGAUGGAGUCGUACUCGCAGCGAUUCCGAUCUAGUGCCGAACUACGGCACCUCCGCGUUCAACACACGUGCAGCCCGGUGACGUCUCCUGCACCUCGAUCCAGCAAGGAGGAGGGAGAGGUUGGGGAAGAACUCCAGCAGCAUGACGGCGUGGUGUCGAUGGAGAGACGAGGUCUCCCGGCAGGGCUUCGCCAAGCACGGGCAGAGAGGAGGAGGAAGAAGGGCAGGGUUGCGCCGAGAGAGAGGCAAAAGUCUAUCUCUCAAUGGCCAAAAGUGCCCGAUAUAUAUAGGGAGAUGGGAGAGGGGGUGCCACCCCUAGGGUUCCCACCCUAGGUGGUGCGGCAGCCCCCCCAGAUGGGAGGUGCGGCGGCCAGAGGGGGGAGGAGGGGGUGGCGCACCACCUGGUGGGCCUUAGGCCCACCUGGCUUAGGGUUUGCCCCUCUUUUCUCUCCCCUGCGCAUUGGGCUGAGUGGGGAGGCGCACCAGCCCACCUAGGUGCUGGUUCCCACCCCCACUUGGCCCAUCUUACCUCCCGGGGUCGUUGCCCCCCUUCGGUGGUCCCCCGGGGCCACCUCCGAUGGUCCGGGUGGUCCCGGUACGUUACCCGUUAUGCCCGAAACACUUCCGGUAUCCGAAACCAUCCGUCCUAUAUAUCAAUCUUUACCUCCGGACCAUUCCGGAGCUCCUCGUGAUGUCCGGAAUCUCAUCCAGGACUCCGAACAACUCUCGGUAACCUCGUAUAACAAUUCCCUAUAACCCUAGCGUCACCGAACCUUAAGUGUGUAGACCCUACGGGUUCGGGAGACAGGCAGACAUGACCGAGACACCUCUCUGGCCAAUAACCAUCAGCGGGGUCUGGAUACCCAUGGUGGCUCCCACUUUCUCCACGAUGAUCUCAUCGAAUGAACCACGAUGUCAAGGAUUCAAUCAAUCCCGUAUACGAUUCCCUCUGUCUGUCGGUAUAGAACUUGCCCGAGAUUCGAUCGUCGGUAUGCCUAUACCUUGUUCAAUCUCGUUACCGGUAAGUCUCUUUACUCGAUGCCCAUACGUUGUUCAAUCUCGUUACCGGUAAGUCUCUUUACUCGUUCCGUAGCACGUCAUCGUGUGACUAACUCCUUAGUCACAUUGAGCUCAUGAUGAUGUUCUACCGAGUGGGCCCAGAGAUACCUCUCCGUCACACGGAGUGACAAAUCCCGAUCUUGAUUCGUACCAACCCAACAGACACUUUCAGAGAUACCCGUAAUGCACCUUUAUAGUCACCCAGUUACGUUGUGACGUUUGAUACACCCAAAGCACUCCUACGGUAUCCGGGAGUUGCACAAUCUCACGGUCGAAGGAAAAGACACUUGACAUUAGAAAAGCUUUAGUAUGCGAACAAUACGAUCUAGUGCUAUGCUUAGGAUUGGGUCUUGUCCAUCACAUCAUUCUCCCAAUGAUGUGAUCCCGUUAUCAAUGACAUNNNNNNNNNNNNNNNNNNNNNNNNNNNNNNNNNNNNNNNNNNNNNNNNNNNNNNNNNNNNNNNNNNNNNNNNNNNNNNNNNNNNNNNNNNNNNNNNNNNNAGUCUACCUCGGUGUACUAAUUUUCAUAGUAGUAAGGAUGAAAUUAGCUGGAAGACAAAUGGUGUGUCACACAAAUCGUAUAUUUCAAGUCAAAGGUAUGAUUCAUAUACAAGGUGUGAUUCUACUGUGAGUACGAUUUGAAACAUGCUAUACCCCGAAGAAAGCUAGAAUGUGAUAUGAAUUCACUACUCAACAAGAAGGAUACCCGCACAAACUUUUUCAUACAAGUAUCCAGCAGUCGGAAUAUUAANNNNNNNNNNNNNNNNNNNNNNNNNNNNNNNNNNNAGCAGUCGGAAUAUUAAAGGGUAUAUAUAUGGUAGUAAGUCAACAUAUCCCAGAUAGAAGCUUCUACUGUAAGCAACCUAGUCUGCCCUCACAAGCUACCGAAGAAGCUUACAAUGCAUGAUUCCUCUACCUUCCUCAGUAUGAUACGUGGAUGAAUUCUCGUGCAAGAUACUCAUGCUUCUUCCGUAAGCUACUGCAAAAGCUUCUGGCAUAAGGUAUUGAGUCUUCCCUAGCAAGACUUUAAGGGGGGAAGCUUCUAAAGUACGGUACUCAAUCUUCUUCAACAAGCUGUCUGACAAAAGCUUUGAGCACAAGCUAUUCAACUCGAUACUCUCGAUGUCUUCCAAUGGAAGCCGUCCAACUUUCCUCAAUACGACACCGCUCCAAGAUAUUACACACUAAUAUGGUAAUAUAUGGCAGUACAUCCCAAGAAUCAAAUCCACAAUAGUUUGGUCAGAAGCUAGAAUCAAUCAGAACACAAGUCUACCUCAGGAAUCAAAUACUUCCAUAAACACUAUGAGCAUGCUACCAAAUUCAUGCAAGUCACUCGCACGAUGAUGAAAUAACGGUAAGAAUCCAACAACCUCACGAGUUACGCAAGAGUAAAAAGUGAGUUAUACACUUCAGGGAGUGAUGCAGGGACCGACCAACUUUGUUGAAAGAUAGCGUGAGAAAAUUAUUUUUGGCAGUGCAUAUCCAGGCCAAACAUGGUGAUAUCGUUAACCCUUAUCACGAGCUUGUAUGAUGGACGACAACAAUGAGCUCUCUACAAGCACAUGUGAAUCUAGCAUAUAUCCUAUGGCCCGAGUCGUGAACAAGGCCAAUGUAUGAUGGCCAAAAUAUUGCAUAUGACAGCACCUCUGGUCACAAGAAUUGAAGAUAUAUAUGUGGACAAGAUCCUUCGGCAAAAGGAUCCACACAAAGAAACCAAUAAUGAAGGAGCGAGACCGUCAAUACAAAUAUGCCACUUGUUGCUUGACCAACAAGGUAGAGAUACCAGGACGGUCAGGUUUAGUAUUGUUUACCAUUGACUAUCCACCUAAGGGGUCUACUCCAUCUGUAAGGACCUCAUAUCAAGAUAACCCGCUCAACCAACAUUAUCUGCUCAAAACUGCUAGUAUCGACUAUCCAAGUCUAUCACGUAAAACAAAAGGCCAGCUCAACAGAUUAAAUUCAAUAACCGUGUUAAAGCAUGACAAAUCCUACUAUCCACAAGAAUAUAGCAACCGAAUAAGAAUGUAGUAUGCUAAACAACAGUCUCGAAGCAUGUGCCCUCGCAUAGGGGAAUCAGUUAAAGGAUAGCCUGCCAAGAACAAGAUGCUUCUGUCAGAACCAACGUCUGUUAAGUCUCGAGAUGCUACUAUUAUAAGGCUAUACUCCUUUCUACUGGUCACAACAAACGACAGUCAGACCUUUGGUAUGAAUCUGGUACUCAAGACAGUGGAAAUAUCCAAGAUGAUGAAGGAAUACGAGUGAGAAGUCACACNNNNNNNNNNNNNNNNNNNNNNNNNNNNNNNNNNNNNNNNNNNNNNNNNNNNNNNNNNNNNNNNNNNNNNNNNNNNNNNNNNNNNNNNNNNNNNNNNNNNCUUGGAUAAAAUAGGUCAUUCCGGAGCAAACUAUGCUUAUUAAGCCAGUUUGGAUCUAGCUAGGCUAAUUAUAGGCCAUUUAAUACCUAAAUUAGAGGGAAUUGGUCAUCUUACAACUACGUAAGCCUUAUUAUGUUAUUUAGGAGAGAACUUAGCUAACUGUAGGUCAUUUUUUAUUAAAUAGGUCAUUUUGGAGCUAACUAAGCUAAUUAUGUCAUUUCGUAGGAUAAUUAGCCAAUUUAGCCUUUCUUAGAUGAGUCUAAGCUACGUAGAAGAAGAGAAAGAGAAGAAGAAGUAAAAGAAGGAGGAGGAGGAGGAGGAGGAGAAGGAGAAGGAAGAGGAGAAGAAGAAGAAAAGAAGAAGGAGAAGGAGAAGGAGGAAGAAGAAGGAGAAGGAGGAGCUCCUUCUCCUUCUUCUUAUCCUCCUCCUUCUCCUUCUUCGUAGGAUAAUUAGCCAAUAUAGCCAUUUUGGAGCUAACUAAGUUAAUUAUGUCAUUUAGAUGGAAGUCUAGUUAUUUUUUAUUAAAACACNNNNNNNNNNNNNNNNNNNNNNNNNNNNNNNNNNNNNNNNNNNNNNNNNNNNNCUAGAAAUAACAUAACAUUAUCGUCAUCACAGCGGUGAAGCACGGUGGCUCUGGCUUGUUUCACCUGGAGAAGGCUGCCAUGGAGAAGGCUCGACUGUAGAAGGGUCGUGCGAUGCUUUUUGGGAGAUAUUCUGCACCAAACAUCAUUUGCAAUGUGUAGUUAGCAUGAGGACACUCUUAAGAUCACUGCACUGAAAUGAAACUCACCAUCCCCGCCACGUUAAUGACUGGCAUCGGCGGAGGGACUUGGUCGCUCUUCUCGCACAUAGACUGUACAUUUGGUUUCGACAAGUCAAACUUUUUAUUUAUUAAUGAAACGGACAUUCAAAUGCAAGAUUUGAAAUAACAUGAAGAAGAAACUUACCACGAAGAGCUCGUAUAUGGCCCUGUUAGACGCAUCAUUCCGUGCCCUCUCCGCCUCCACCAAUGCAGUCGUCCUCUCCUCCAGCUCCCUAAUUUCCUUAUCCUUCUCCGCCAUAGCCGCCUGCAUUGCCUCUCUCUCUUUCUGAAUAGCAGCCUGCAACACAACUCGUUGUUAGCAAUGUAAUCAUAUUGGUUCCAACGCACAACAUAAUGCGGAAAGAUAGUUGAGUCCAUUAAACUAACCUCGAUGGUGAGCUCGAGGUCGUGGAUGACGUGUUAUCUCCGUACAAGAGCUCGUUUGGCAUGCCUUUAUCUACCGGAGAGUGCUAGGACAACGUAUAAGGUCGUCUCCAAUGGAGAUCGAGCCAUGGGGCCUCCCGUUGCCAGCUAUCAUCACCAGCUCUGGAUCAAUAGGCCCCCCGCUCGGGUUAAAGUCCUCCCCUUUCCUCGCCUUCCCGUGAUCUCUGUACUUCACGAGCUUGUGGUGGGAGGCGAUGUUGGUGAAGUUUUCUGGAUGCUUGUGGUGGGAGGAGAUGUUGGUGAAGUUUUCUGGAUGCUCGAGGUCAGACUCAGAGAAUGCCUUGACCUUCUUUUACGAGGCAGUAUGGGCCAUCGCAUACAGGUCGUACAUCUGUGGCACCUCCGUCUUAUUGUGAUGCGACUAAAAGAGAGAGAGAGGAAAUUGUAUUCGUAGAGGGCUCAAGAUAGCAUUAAGAAUGAACUGCAUGAGGCAUGAAGCAAACCACAUACCGAGUUCUCGCCAAAUUGGAUUAAGUUGAUGCUCCCUUGAUGGUGUGGNNNNNNNNNNNNNNNNNNNNNNNNNNNNNNNNNNNNNNNNNNNNNNNNGGCACGCCAACCAUUUUGCCACGCCUCUCCUUGGCGUUGUUGUGGCUGGCCUCCCAUGUUUCGGAGCACCACUGGUCCACCAAUGCCUCCCAACAAUCCAUCUUAUCCACACACCAUCUCGGGGGCACCUAAGUUAAUAAAGAGAAAUUUGAGCGCGUAAGAACCAAAUCAAGGAAACUAACUACAAAGCCUUAAUAAUAUGUAAUUACCUUCAUGUAAUUCUCCUUCUCCAUCUUAGCGUCACGGCACUUCGCCUUGUCAAUCCUAAUACGCCACGUGGCAUAGUAGUCUCGAACACCCUGCACCCGAGCCUCGUGCCGAAAGUUUUGAAGUAGGCGGCGACAUUCGGUUUCGAUAACCUUUGUUGCGUCCUCCUCGUAUCCCUCGUCACACCUGUAGUAGGUCUGCAAACGAGGCAACACCGAUUAGUACAAUAAAUAGCUAUGGUUGAUUUAUAAUUGUGUGAAGGAGAAAUUACCCAGAACUUUCGGAUCACCAUGUCCGCCCUCGUGUCGCACAAAACACCGUCGAUCUCCACCUCCGGCGGGGCCGGGGCACCCAAGUAGUGCUCCCAGGUCAUUCCUACCUCUCGCUCCCGACCGGGAAACGUAACAAACCCUGGGAAGUUUUUACGGCAAAGCGCACCAAGGACGCUGUUGGGUUUGCGGACCCCCUUGGCAACAAUCCAACCCCUACAGUAUGACAAAUUAAAGACAAAACAUUAGAUAUUUGGGAAAACGCGAAGGCAAAAGGUUAAAUAAGAGUAAAUUAACUUACUUGUCCCCAUUUGGCCUAAUCGACCACCUGUGCUCGGGGUUCGCUGGCACGAGCGGGAGCCCCGAACUACCACACUGGUAGACAAUAGCCCCCUCACCUAUCUCCUCGUCGCUACCAGCAUCCGACUAGGUCUCUUANNNNNNNNNNNNNNNNNNNNNNNCAUCCGACUAGGUCUCUUAGGACGUACCCUCAUCCCUUCUUUGCUCCGGAGUCGCCUGGAAUGAAGCCUCUGGGACACGAGUCUCAUGGGUCGAAGGCUCGUCGACCUAAGGCUCGUCGACCCGAGGCUCGUGCACUGGAUAUAGUGUAGCCUCCACCUCAGACGAAUCCACCCUAGAAGUCCUGUGCUUAGGUGAAUCAGCGUGGGGUGGUGGCGAAGACCGUGUAGCCGCCACCUCAGAAGGCGUGGCAGCCACCGCCCUACCUCUCCUGCGGCCACGUGUACCUUUAGUACUACAUAAAUACCAACAUGAGUAAUAAAAUGUAUAUAAAUACCAUUAUGCAUACAACAUGAGUACAACAUAAAUACCAACAUGAAUACAACGUGUACCUUUAGUACCUCUCGGCUUCGCGGGGGGUCGACCUCCUCUCACGGGGGGUGCUCCUUGCAUAGUAGAGAGCAACACUCUCCGAAGAGGCGAGGCAGGAAUGGAAGUACCCAUCCCAUCACCCACCGACGAAGAAGGAGCCGCGGAGUGCUUUCGACCCUUUCCCACCAUCUUUCAACACCUGUCAUGACAAAGGGUAAAUGAAAUUAGUACAAAAUAAAUACCAACAUGAGUAAUAAAAUGUAUAUAAUUUAAGUGUAUCAUCAUCAUAAAUACCAACANNNNNNNNNNNNNNNNNNNNNNNNNNNNNNNNNNNNNNNNNNNNNNNNNNNNNNNNNNNNNNNNNNNNNNNNNNNNNNNNNNNNNNNNNNNNNNNNNNNNACCAAAUUAGGUCUUACUUUUAUGUAGUUUCCUUGGUGAUAUUCAUAUGCCUCUGUUAUACUUUACUUGAUGUUAAGUUAUAUGCUAUGUGACAUGAUAGCAAGUCAGGAAGGCUGAAAGUGGGAGGCCAUGUUGAACGCAACGAUUAUUGAUACACUUAGGCUAUUAGGAAACCAAGAUCUUGAAAUAUAUUUUUCUAAGAAUGAGCACACUAUCCAUACGCAGGACAUUAUGGGAGCCCAUGGACACUUUCUACAGUUGUAAAUUGUCCACGGGUCAUAAUGGUGUUGUACUAUUUGUAUGUAUUGUUUUGCAGGUAUGAGGAGACGUUCCAUGGUAAUGGUAUGAUUUUACCAUUAGGGUGUUUUUUCCCAUGAUGUUCCUUUGGGCCCGCAUGUGUAGGACUUCCCCACUAGUCCUAAAAUUGUGUGGUUGCGAAUGGCUAUGCUCGGACUCGACACUAGCCACGUGUCACUGGUGUGACACAAUUGGAUCCGAUUCAGAGAUAUAUCUCCCCGACUAGGAUGUAGUAACGAAGUACGUAUCAUUUGUUUGAAACUACGUAGCUUAGCCCGUCGUGGGUCACAACAUAAGGUCGGCGAGCAUGUGUUGUCAUGCCAUUCAGAACUUUAGCUGCUAUCACAAGAAAUGGGCGCCCCCCGUGGGUCAGUUCUUGUUGUGAACAACGUGUGUAUGGAGCUUAUAGUGGGUAUGCAUGGUUAAGGAUGACUUGAGCUUUAUGACAGUUCAUAAGAUAACUUCAAUCAUACUCGCCAAAACUUGUCCGCCCUUAAACUUCAUGUUAAUUGCAUGUUCUACUUCAACCAUAAUUAAUGGAAACCCGUGCACCACAUGAGUGACAUGGGGUAAUUCCUUGGGGAGGGUGUCAGGGAGGAUUCGUGGUGGUGGUAUGCUUGACAGUUGGAUAGAAUGCUCAUGUGCACACAACACUUGUGUUGUGAUGCAUGAAAUUUGGGACAUGUGGUCCUUUGGUUCUCAUGUUGUUCCACUAGACAUAAGUUGUAGCAUUGCCUAGUGCUUGCAACUUCACCACUCAUCCUUUCCAUACCUAUCGGUAUUGUUAUUUGUAGUACCCUUGGUAAUGAUACUUUUCAAGUACCCUGGUACUCACCCUUACCAUAAUAACAGGUUGCAUAUAUUGUGAUGGAUAAUGUUAGCUUGGUUGUCCUUCGGACAAUGGUCUUGGCAAGGUAAUGGACGCAUUUGCUUUUAUUUGAGCCUUCUUGACGCAAUUUGUAUUCUUGCUUCUCCGCCUCCCCCAUAUGAAUUGGACUUUGGUCAUAAGACCCUGAAUGUAUCAAAUAUUGCAUAUGUAUGUAUCUUGUUGUAUGCGGAACUUAUAAUNNNNNNNNNNNNNNNNNNNNNNNNNNNNNNNNNNNNNNNNNNNNNNNNNNNNNNNNNNNNNNNNNNNNNNNNNNNNNNNNNNNNNNNNNNNNNNNNNNNNUCACCUACAUGCUACGUCAACAACAUCAUUCGAAGGUAUGUACUCAUUCGAAGUGAUAUGAGGAGAUCGAAAUUCUUAAUCGAAAAAAUGGUAAACCAAUUUCGCGCUUAACGAUGAGUAUGACCUAUGAUCAAGCAUCCUUGCUUGACUCCUCAAGUCAAAUACUCUAAUAUACACUACAGGAAUUAGCUUCUUUGCCAUCUUCCAUCACAGACGGCAAAGAGUAUAUCACAGACUGCAAAGAGUAUAUCACAAACGGCAAAGAAUCUCACUGUCGACAAAAUUUCCGCGUUAGCCUACGACAACAUUGUAGCUUCUUUGUCGUCUGCUUCACCGAAACGGACGGCAAAGCUCUUUGCCGUGAGCUUUCCAUGAGAGCAGUCGGCAAAUAUGUCGAGACGGUAGCCGGCAGGCGUUGCCUCCGUUAGGGACUAACGGAGGCUUUGCCGUCUGCCUCCCCUCUUCUGUGCCGUCUGCCCCCCCCCCUCUUCUUUGCCAUAUGCCUCCCCCUCCUCUGUGCCAUCUGCCUCCCCCCUCUUCUUUGUCGUCUGCAUCCCCCCUCUUCUGUGCGGUCUACCUCCCCCUCUUCUUUGCCGUCAGCCUCCACCUCCUCCCCCCCUCCUCUCUGCCCUCUUCUUUGCCGUCUACCCCCUCCCUUGAAGCAGACGGCAAAGAUACUAUAUGUCCAGCUGCUGCUGCCCAGGUUGCACAGCUGGGUGCCACGUGGCACCUUUGCCGUCGGUCAGCUGAUGGCAAAGGCCUUUGCCAUCAGCUGGCAGACGGCAAAGAGCCUAUAUUGUCACAUUUUUGUUUAUUUUUUCUAUUUCAUAGCACAUAUAUAUAUAAUUCAUAGCACAUCUAUGAUAAAUAGGUCACAACACAUAUAUGAUAUACAUAUAAAGCUCAUCAAUGCCAUUUGUUCAUCAAAGUACAUCACAUAUAUUAAAAGAACCAACACAUACAAAGUUUCGUCCAUAUAUACAUACAUAUAGUUGCACAUAUAUUGUUCAUCCAUAUAUACAUAUACAUAUAGUUCCACAUUGUUCAUCAACUCAAAUAAAAACGGGAACUAAAGCACUCCAAUGCCAGCUUCCAUGCAUGUAGUACAUCCAAUCUGCAAAAUGGGAAUAAGAAACACAGAAGAAGAAGAAGAAGAAGAACAUAUAUAUGACAAAUAAGCUAAAUUGAAGAAGAAAGAGAAGAAGCAAGAAGAGAACAAGGAGAAGAAAAACAAGGAGGAGGAGGAGGAGGAGGAGGGGAAGGAGAAGGACAAGGAGGAGGAGAAGAAGAAAAAAGAAGAAGAGAAGAAGAAGGAGAAGAAGGAGGAGAAGGAGGAGAGAAGAAGAAGGAGAAGAAGGAUGGCUCCUUCUCCUUCUUCUCCUCCUUCUCCUCCUCCUCCUUCUUCUUCUCCUUCUCCUUCUCCUUCUCUUCUUCUUCUCUUCUUUUUCUUCUUCUUCCUUCUUUUCAUUUCUCCUCUUCUUGGAGCUAAAUUAGCUAACUAUGUCUUUUCGCAGCUAAAUGGGCUAAUUAUGUCAUUCUAGCGGAAAACAAGCUAAGUAUAUAAUAUUAAUGAGCUAAUCAAGGUUCUUAUGCCAUUUUGAGCUUAUUAUGUCUUUUAGGAGCUUAAUUAGUCAUUUUAUUGAGCUAACCAAGGUUCUUAUGAUGUUUUUACCUAACUAAGCUAAUUAUGUCAUUUUGGAUGAUAAUUGGCUAAGUAUGUCUUUGUUGGGGAAAAUAAGCUAAAUUGAAGAAGAAGAGGAGAAGAAGGAGGGAAGAAGAAGGAGAAUAAGGAGGGCUCCUUCUCCUCCUUCUCCUUCUUCUCUUCUUCUUCUCCUCCUCCUUCUUCUCCUUCUCCUUCUCUUCUCUUUCUCUUCUUCUUUUUGUUCUUCCUUUUUAUUUCUCCUCUUCUCCUCUUCUUGGAGCUAAAUUAGCUAACUAUGUCAUUAUAGAGGAAAACAAGCUAAGUAUAUAAUAUUAAUGAGCUAACCAAGGUUCUUAUGCCAUUUUGAGCUUAUAAUGUCUUUUUGGAGCUAAAUUGUCUAAUUAUGUCAUUGUUGGGGAAAUUAAGGCAAGGAGAAUAUGAAAGAAGAAAAGAAAGAGGAGGAGGAGAAGAAGAAGAAGAAAUAAAGAAGGAGGAGGAGAAGGACUAGAAGGUCCUUGGCCUUCUCCUCCUUCUCCUCCUCCUCCUCCUCCUCCUUCUCCUUCUUCUNNNNNNNNNNNNNNNNNNNNNNNNNNNNNNNNNNNNNNNNNNNNNNNNNNNNNNNNNNNNNNNNNNNNNNNNNNNNNNNNNNNNNNNNNNNNNNNNNNNNGGAGGAGGAGAAGGACUAGAAGGUCCUUGGCCUUCUCCUCCUUCUUCUCCUCCUCCUCCUCCACCUCCUCCUUCUUCUCCUCCUCCUUCUUCUCCUUCUCCUUCUCUUCUCUUUUUCUUCUUUUUUGUUCUUCCUUUUCAUUUCUCCUCUUCUUGGAGCUAAAUUAGCUAACUAUGUCAUUAUAGAGGAAAACAAGCUAAGUAUAUAAUAUUAAUGAGCUAACCAAGGUUCUUAUGCCAUUUUGAGCUUAUAAUGUCUUUUUGGAGCUAACCAAGGUUUUUAUGCCAUUAAGGAGAAUAAGGAGGAGGAGGAGGAGGAGAAGGACUAGAAGGUCCUUGGCCUUCUCCUCCUUCUCCUCCUCCUCCUCCUCCUUCUCCUUCUUCUCUUCUUCUUCUUUCUUUUCAUUUUUCCUAUUUAUUCUCCUCUUCACCUCUUCUUGGAGCUAAAUUAGCUAAAUAUGUCUUUUUGGAGCUAAAUGGUAUAAUUAUCCCAUUUUAGAGGAAAACAAGCUAAGUAUAUAAUAUUAAUAAGCUAACCAAGCUUCUUAUGCCAUUUUGAGGUUAUUAUGGCAUUUUGGAGCUAAAUGGUCUAAUUAUGUCAUUGUUGGGGAAAUUAAGGAAAGGAUAAUAUGAAAGAGGAGAAGAAAGAGGAGGAGGAGAAGAAGAAGAAGAAAUAAAGAAGAAGGAGGAGAAGGAGGAGGAGGAGGAGAAGGACUAGAAGGUCCUUGGCCUUCUCCUCCUGCUCCUCUUCCUCCUCCUCCUCCUUCUCCUUCUUCUCUUCUUCUUCUUUCUUUUCGANNNNNNNNNNNNNNNNNNNNNNNNNNNNNNNNNNNNNNNNNNNNNNNNNNNNNNNNNNNNNNNNNNNNNNNNNNNNNNNNNNNNNNNNNNNNNNNNNNNNCCGCGUAAUGCCCCGGGGUAACCCUGAGGCCUUCUGGACCCCCUCCCGAGGAGCCUCCAACACUGGCACAGGCGGCGCUACUAAAGGAGAGGCGCCACAAAGAACAAGAGGCCCCGAAGGCUGCUGCACAGCUGCGAGCGUCAGCACCUUCAGAGGCCGGGGAUCCUUGGAGGCCAGUUCUCCAUGCAACGGCGUCCCCACGCUCACCAGAGGAUGCUUCGGGGGCUCGGGGGGCUUGACGACCAAGGCCAGGGAGGCCGCCCAAAGAUCCCCUCCUCCUCCUCCUUACCCGUAGACGGUGAUGUGUCGACAAGGGCAGGCGGGGCAUCGAGAGACGCCUUCGGCCUAGCAACCGUCUUCUUCUUCUUCGGCGUGAGACCAAAUCAGCGUUCGCCCAUGCUCACUGGACUCACCCACGGUCCAUGGAAGCACCGAGACGAGAUCCGCCUCCUUGGAGAGGGCGCAGUCCAGGAGCGGAGAAGUUGGGGCCAGGCCAUGCCCCUCUGGCUUAUACUUGCCGGUGGUGCCAUCGCUGGAUUGUCGAGUAACUAUGCGACACUGGAUCUGGGAGGCAUCGGCCGGAGUCAAAGGCUUAAGAAGAAAGACGAGUGCGGUAAAAGGAAGGCAAUAAGGCACCGAAGCUACAAGCAGGGCACCUAAUAAAGGGGGCAGAGAUAGAGGACAAGGAGGCAUGGACGCCAUCCGCGUGUCGUGCGCCGGCCUGGACCAUAGGUGUUUGAGGGCCCACGACGUCUCAUGCUACCCCUCAAGGCUCCUCCCUGAAGCCAACCCGAGCACACCGCAUGUCCGGCGGCUACUGUCGGCCUUCUGGGACUCGGGGUACCCAGACCUGCCUGCCUGUGGCCCAGGACGGGCCCGCUUCACUAGAGUGACGCAACAAGCCCAGUGAUAACCCACAAGUAUAAGGGAUCACAACAGUUUUCGAGGGUAGAGUAUUCAACCCAAACAUAUUGAUUCGACACAAGGGGAAGCCAAAGAAUAUUCUCAAGUAUUAGCAGUUGAGUUGUCAAUUCAACCACACCUAAAAGACUUAGUAUCUGCCGCAAAUCUAUCAGUAGCAAGGUAGUGUGAUAGCAACAGUAACCAGUAGCAACAAAGUGACAGCAGUGGUGACAGAGUAACAGUAGCAGCAGUAACAACAGUAGCGGCAAAGUAACGUAGCAAGGACCAGUAGGAAAAACUCGUAGGCAUUGGAUCAGUGAUGGAUGAUUAUGCCAGAAGGUAUUCAUCAUGCAACAGUUAUAACACGGNNNNNNNNNNNNNNNNNNNNNNNNNNNNNNNNNNNNNNNNNNNNNNNNNNNNNNNNNNNNNNNNNNNNNNNNNNNNNNNNNNNNNNNNNNNNNNNNNNNNCUUAAUGCUUAAUAUGUAAGCAGCCUCUCCUAGGUAAUUCGUUGAAAAACAUUAGUUCAAGUAAUCCUUUACACUCUCUAAAAACUCCACAUUGUUUUCAAUCAGCAAUAUGUCAUCCACAUAUAACAUUAGAAACGCUACAGAGCUCCCACUCACUUUCUUGUAUAUAGAAGAUUCUCCAACAACUUGUAUAAUCCCAAAUGUCUUGAUCACCUCAUCAAAGCGUUUAUUCCAACUCCGAAAUGCUUGCACCAGUCCAUAAAUAGAUCGCUAGAGCUUGCAUACUUUGCUAGCAUUCUUUGGAUCGACAAAACCUUCGGAUUGCAUCAUAUACAAGUCUUCCUUAAGAAACCAUUAAGGAACCCCAUUUUGACAUCCAUCAUCAUAUACAAGUCUUCCUUAAGAAACCAUUAAGGAACACCAUUUUGACAUCCAUCUGCCAAAUUUCAUAAUCGAAAUAUGCAGCAAUUGCUAACAUGAUUCGGACGGACUUAAGCAUCGCUACCAGUGAUAAUGUAUCAUCGUAGUCAACAACUUGAACUUGUGAAAAUACUUUUUCCACAAGUCGAGCUUUAUAAAAGGUCACAUUACCAACCGCGUCCGUCUUCUUGAAGAUCCAUUUGUUCUGAAUAGCCUUGCAACCUUCAGGUAAUACUUCCAAAGUCCACACUUUGUUUUCAUACAUAGACCCUAUCUCGGAUUUCAUGGCCUCUAGCCAUUUAUUGGAAUCAGGGCCCACCAUUGCUUCUUCAUAAUUCGCAGGCUCGUUGUUGUCUAACAACAUGAUAGAUAAGACAGGAUUUCCGUACCACUCAGGAGCAGUACGUGAUCUGGUCGACCUGCGAGGUCCGAUAGUAACUUGAUCCGAAACUUCAUGAUCACCAUCAUUAGCUUCCUCCUCAACCGGUGUUUCCUCGACACAGAUUUCCCUCUGCCCCGCGCCACCAUCUUGAGCGAGCAGAGGUUCCAAAACCUCAUCAAUUCUUUCGAGAGAAACUAUUUCUCAAGAAAAGCUUCGUUCUUAGAAACAAACACUUUGCCCUCGGAUCUGAGAUAGAAGGUGUACCCAACUGUCUCUUUUGGACAACUAUGAAGACGCACUUUUCCGCUUUGGGUUCCAGCUUUUCAGGCUGAAGCUUUUUGACAUAAGCAUCGCAUCCACAAACUUUAAGAAACGACAACUUUGGCAUCUUGCCACACCAUAGUUCAUAUGGUGUCGUCUCAACGGAUUUUGAUGGUGCCCUAUUUAAAGUGUAUGCAGAUGUCUCUAAUGCAUAACCCCAAAACGAUAAUGGCAAACCGGUAAGAUACAUCAUAGAUCGCACCAUAUCUAACGAAGUAGGAUUACGACGUUUGGACACACCAUUACGAUGUGGUGUUCCAGGCGGUGUCAACUGUGAAACAAUUCCAAAUUGUCUUAAGUGAGCACCAAACUCAAAACUCAGAUAUUCGCCCCCUCGAUCAGAUCAUAGGAACUUAAUCUUCUUGCUACGAUGAUUUUCAACUUCACUUUGAAAUUGCUUGAAGUUUUGAAAUGUUUCAGACUUGUACUUCAUCAAGUAGAUAUAUCCAUAGCUACUCAAAUCAUCAGUGAAGGUGAGAAAAUAACGAUAUCCGUAGCGCGCCUCCACACUCAUUGGCCCGCACACAUCAGUAUGUAUGAUCUCCAACAAGUCACUUGCACGCUCCAUUGUUCCGGAGAAUGGAGUCUUAGUCAUCUUGCCCAUGAGGCAUGGUUCGCACUUGUCAAGUGAUUCGAAAUCAAGUGACUCCAAAAUUCCAUCAGCAUGGAUUUUCUUCAUGCGCUUUACACCAAAAUGACCUAAGCAGCAGUGCCACAAAAAGGUUGCGCUAUCAUUGUUAACUCUACAUCUUUUGGUCUCAAUGUUAUGGAUAUGUGUGUCAUCAUAAUCAAGAUUCAAUAUGAACAAACCCCUCACAUUUGGUGCAUGACCAUAAAAGAUAUUACUCAUAAAAAUAGAACAACCAUUNNNNNNNNNNNNNNNNNNNNNNNNNNNNNNNNNNNNNNNNNNNNNNNNNNNNNNNNNNNNNNNNNNNNNNNNNNNNNNNNNNNNNNNNNNNNNNNNNNNNAACACAGUUUUGAACUCAAAAGGACAUGCAUAUAUUUGAGCCACCCAAUGCAAGGAACAAAAGAUUUGGUGUCCACCGGAAAAAAAUAUUCACAAUUCCAUCGAAUGUUGUUAGUGCUGGAUGCCACAUUUGUAGAAAAAUCAGGCUCAGACUUGUGAGAAGGAGAUAUACCUCACUCAUGAUGAUCUAUCACGCACAGCUAAGCCGAUAGAUAAGAAAUUAAUUGGCGACCGUAUUGUCGGAUUUCGGGCUCCACAAAGCCCUAAGGAUCCGAACANNNNNNNNNNNNNNNNNNNNNNNNNNNNNNNNNNNNNNNNNNNNNNNNNNNNCUAAGGAUCCGAACACUGGGGCGUGUAUGAAGAUCUCCCCUGCUUCGCCUCGCAUGUCUCACUACUCGAUGGAAACAAUGAAGGACUCACUCGAAGGUUCAGGCCGCUGCGAAGCAUAAAACACUACACCUGCUUUGAUGGAUUGCCUCUCUCUGAGGUUGAGGAACGAGAUGGUACACGACUUUUGCGCCUCCAGAGGCCAAGUGGCUAAGCGUGCUGCUCUAGGGUUUCGAUCCCCUCUCUCAACUAUCCUACCCUAUCUAUUUAUAGUGGAGGCCCGGGUCCUCUUCCCUNNNNNNNNNNNNNNNNNNNNNNNNNNNNNNNGGGUCCUCUUCCCUCUUAGCUUUGGCGGGAAGGGAUUCCACAACGACCAAUUUUGAAGGGGAACAUGCUCCCCUAACAAGAGAUGGUCUUCACCUGCAAAGUAAUUGUCCACCCCAUAGAGACCGGCUCGUGGAUGACGUUUGCCCUACUGGCGGGAGACUGCGGCUUUGUUGCACCAGAAGAUAAACCUUUGGGGGAUGCCUUUGGGAAGCAUGUACGCCCCACCUCCUUUGCACCAAAGGGGAAACUAUCUCGUCCUGCCAUAUGCUGCUCGCCUAUCCUUCCCUGGUGUCACCCUUGACUGCCGAGGACCGGCCCUGCCUCGUAAUAUCCACCAAUCCGGACGGGUCCUGAAGAGGCCCCCCUACGGGUCUUGACGCUGCUCCUCCUCAUGAGGCUUAGCUCCUCACGAGGGCCUGCCCUUAAGCCGUGCUGGGUGAUACGUCUCCAUCGUAUCUACUUUUCCAAACUCUUUUUCCCUUGUUUUGCACUCUAGUUUGCAUGAUUUGAAUGGAACUAACCCGGACUAAUGUUGUUUUCAGUAGAAUUGUCAUGGUGUUGUUUUUGCGCAGAAAUAAAAGUUCCCGGAAUGACCUGAAAAUUUACGAAGAAUUUUUUGUGGAAUAUAUAAAAAAUACUAGCGCAAGAAUCAACCGAAGAAGUGGAGCGUGGAGCCCACAAGCCCACCAGGCGUGCCCCCCUGGCCGCGCCUAACAGGUUUGUGGGGCCCACAUUGCUCCACCGCCUCCCAUUCCACCNNNNNNNNNNNNNNNNNNNNNNNNNNNNNNNNNNNNNNNNNNNNNNNNNNNNNNNNNNNNNNNNNNNNNNNNNNNNNNNNNNNNNNNNNNNNNNNNNNNNGAGCACAUACUCAAAAUGUUUGGGUUACACGGUCGUCUGACUUCACUUGGAGUCGAACUUCCGGAUGAUGCUAUAAUUGACUGAAUCCUCCAGUCUCUCCCAUCAAGCUACAAAGGCUUUGUGCUUAACUACAACAUGCAAGGGAUGGAGAAGACCAUUCCCGAGUUGUACUCGAUACUCAAGUCUGCAGAAGUAGAAAUCAAGAAAGAGCAUCAAGUGUUGAUGGUCAACAAGACCACUAGUUUCAAGAAGGGCAAGGGUAAGAAGAACUUCAAGAAAGACGGCAAAGCUGUUGCUGCGCCCGGUAAGCCAGAUGCUGAGAAGAAGAAAAAGAAUGGACCCAAGCCUGAGACUGAGUGCUUCUAUUGCAAGGGAAAAGGUCACUGGAAGCGGAACUGCCCCAAAUACUUAGCGGACAAGAAGGCCGGCAACGUUAAAGGUAUAUGUGAUAUACAUGUUAUUGAUGUGUACCUUACCAGCGCUCUUAGUAGCUCCUGGGUAUUUGAUACCGGUGUUGUUGCUCACAUUUGCAACUCAAAGCAGGAACUGCGGAAUAAGCGGAGACUGGCCAAGGACGAGGUGACGAUGCGCGUCGGGAAUUGUUCAAAGGUCGAUGUGAUCGCCGUCGGCACGCUACCUCUACAUCUACAAUCGGGAUUAGUUUUGAACCUUAAUAAUUGUUAUUUAGUACCAGCUUUAAGCAUGAACAUUGUAUCAGGGUCUUGCUUAAUGCGAGACGGCUACUCAUUUAAGUGAGAGAAUAAUGGUUGUUCUAUUUAUAUGAGUGAUAUGUUUUAUGGUCAUGCUCCGCUGGUAAAUGGUUUAUUCUUGAUGAAUCUCGAUCGUGAUGUUACACAUAUUCAUAGUGUGAGUACCAGAAAAUGUAAAGUUGAUAAUGAUAGUCCCACAUACUUGUGGCACUGCCGCCUUGGUCAUAUCAGCGUUAAGCGCAUGAAGAAGCUCCAUACAGAUGGACUAUUAGAGUCUCUUGACUUUGAAUCAUUUGACACAUGCGAACCGUGCCUCAUGGGCAAGAUGACUAAGACUCCAUUCUCAGGAAUAAUGGAGAGAGCAACCGACUUAUUGGAAAUAAUACAUACCGAUGUGUGUGGUCCAAUGAACGUUGAAGCUCGCGGUGGUUAUCGUUAUGUUCUCACUCUCACCGAUGAUUUGAGUAGGUAUGGGUAUAUCUACUUGAUGAAGCACAAAUCUGAGACGUUUGAAAAGUUCAAGGAAUUUCAGAGUGAGGUUGAGAAUCAACGUGACAGAAAAAUUAAAUGUCUACGAUCUGAUCGUGGAGGAGAAUAUUUGAGUCACGAGUUUGGCACACACCUAAGGAAGUGUGGAAUCGUUUCACAACUGACGCCNNNNNNNNNNNNNNNNNNNNNNNNNNNNNNNNNNNNNNNNNNNNNNNNNNNNNNNNNNNNNNNNNNNNNNNNNNNNNNNNNNNNNNNNNNNNNNNNNNNNCAUUGUGAUCUAUUUAUUCACACAUGUAUUACUGUUUCCUGUUAAUACAAUUAUAGCAUGAACAAUAGACGAUUAUCAUGAACAAGGAAAUAUGAUAAUAACCAUUUUAUUAUUGCCGCUAGGGCAUAUUUCCAACAGUCUCCCACUUGCACUAGAGUCGAUAAUCUAGUUACAUUGUGAUGUAUCGAACACCCAUAGCAUUAUGGUGUUGAUCAUGUUUCGCUCGUGGAAGAUGUUUAGUCAACGGGUCUGCAAUAUUCAGAUCCGUGUGUACUUUACAAAUAUCUAUCACUCCACUCUGGACAUGGUCCUGGAUGGAGUUGUAGCGGCAUUUGAUGUGCUUUGUCUUCCGGUGAAAUCUGGGUUCCUUGGCUAUGGCAAUGGCCCCAGUGUUAUCACAGAAGAGUGUCAUUGGACCCGACGCGCUUGGAACCACUCCAAGGUCGGUGAUGAGCUCCUUCAUCCAAAUUCCUUCAUGAGCUACUUUUGAAGAAGCUAUGUACUCCGCUUCACAUGUAGAUGCUGCCACGACUUCUUGCUUGCUACUGCACCAGCUCACCGCCCCACCAUUCAACACAUAUACGUAUCCGGUCUGUGACUUAGAGUCAUCCGGAUCUGUGUCGAAGCUAGCGUCGACGUAACCCUUUACGACGAGCUCUUCGUCACCUCCAUAAACGAGAAACAUUUCCUUAGUCCUUUUCAUGUACUUAAGGAUAUUCUUGACCGCUGUCCGGUGCUCCAUACCGGGAUCACUUUGGUACCUCCCUACCAAGCUUAUGGCAAGGUUUAUAUGAGGUUGGGUACACAGCAUGGCAUACAUUAGAGAGCCCACGGCUGAUGCGUAGGGGACAUAACUCAUCUUCUCUCUAUCUGCUGCCGUGGUCGGCGACUGAGUCUUAGUCAAUCUCAUAGCUUGCAAAACUGGCAAGAACCCUUUCUUUGAGUUUUCCAUAUUGAACUUCAAUAUCUUGUCAAGGUAUGUACUUUGCGAAAGACCUAUGAGGCAUCUCGAUCUAUCUCUAUAGAUCUUGAUGCCUAAUAUGUAUGCAGCUUCUCCAAGGUCCUUCAUUGAAAAACUCUUGUUCAAAUAGGCCUUUAUGCUCUCCAACAUCUCUAUAUUAUUCCCCAUCAAUAAUAUGUCAUCCACAUACAGUAUGAGGAAAGCUACAGAGUUCCCACUCACUUUCUUGUACAGUCAGGCUUCUCCGUAAACCUGUAUGAACCCAAACGCUUUAAUCACCUCAUUAAAGCGAAUGUUCCAACUCCGAGAUGCUUGCACCAGCCCAUAGAUGGAGCGCUGGAGCUUGCACACUUUGCUAGCACCCUUAGGGUNNNNNNNNNNNNNNNNNNNNNNNNNNNUUGCUAGCACCCUUAGGGUCGACAAAACCUUCUGGUUGCGUCAUAUACAACUCUUCCUUAAGGUUCCCGUUAAGGAACACUGUUUUGACGUCCAUUUGCCAAAUUUCAUAAUCAUAAAAGGUGACAAUUGCUAACAUGAUUCGGACUGAUUUCAGCUUCGCUACGGGAGAGAAAGUCUCUUCGUAGUCAACUCCUUGAAUUUGUCGAAAACCCUUUGCGACAAGUUGAGCUUUGUAAAUGGUUACAUUACCGUUUGCAUCAGUCUUCUUCUUGAAGAUCCAUUUACUUUCUAUGGCUCGCCGCUCAUUGGGCAAUUCCACCAAAGUCCAUACUUUGUUCUCACACAUGGAUCCUAUCUCGGAUUUCAUAGCCUCAAGCCAUUUGUUGGAAUCCGGGCCCGCCAUCGCUUCUUCAUAGUUCGAAGGUUCACCGUUGUCUAACAACAUGAUUUCCAUCACAGGGCUGCCGUACCACUCUGGUGCGGAGCGUGCCCUUGUGGACCUUCGCGGUUCAGUAGUAACUUGAUCCGAAGCUUCAUGAUCAUCAUCAUUAACUUCCUCUUCAGUUGGUGUAGGCGCCACAGGAACAACUUCCCGCGUUGAGCUACUAUCCUGUUCGAGAGGGGGUGUAAUUACCUCAUCAAGUUCUACCUUCCUCCCACUUACUUCUUUCGAGAGAAACUCUUUCUCUAGAAAGGAUCCGUUCUUGGCAACAAAGGUUUUACCUUCGGAUCUAAGNNNNNNNNNNNNNNNNNNNNNNNNNNNNNNNNNNNNNNNNNNNNNNNNNNNNNNNNNNNNNNNNNNNNNNNNNNNNNNNNNNNNNNNNNNNNNNNNNNNNGUGAUAGUGAUGAUGAUGAUGCAUUUAUUGAUGAUGAUUAUUAGUUUGUAAGAUUCACAACUUAAAUUAUAUAUAUUUUAAUCUUUAUUAUUCAUGUACAUAUUAUUAUUCAUGUCAGUUAUUCAAUUUUUUUAUGUUGUACUAAUUUCUUUUAAUCUUUAUCAUGGCAGGUCACCUGGUGUUGAAAGAUGGUGGGCGCUGGUCCAGAGCGCUCGACGGGUUCUUCCCAGCCGCCCCGCACGAGGGGUGGUACUUCCCUUCCACCCCUAUGUCUCCGUAGAGCCUUGGCAGACAGUCUGUCGACACCACCCGUGGGUUCUUCUUCGUCGGCGGCAUUGCCCACUGGGAGAGGUGCUCUUCGGGUAGGGAAGAAGGGGAAGGGUACAUGGAGAGGUGGUGGCCACGGAAGAUCCAGGAGGACUGUUGAGCCGUCCUCGCCACCACCACCAGCUCAUUCACCCGAGCAUACGACUACUAUGGUCGACCCGUUUGCGGAAGAGGCUACGGGGACUCCGGUCUAGGAGCGUGGUGUUGACGGGCAUUCGUCCCAUGAGACUCCGGUCCAGGAUCAGCCUCGGGUCGAGGUGCAUUCGUCCCACGAGACUACGUUUCCGGAGGCUUCACCCGACGUGGAGAGGCCCGGAUGGGAUACCUGGCCGGAUCGGACCGAGUUGCCGGAUUGGACCGAGGGUCCGAGUGGCUCAGGGGGCUGGGAUGGCGGGGAUGAGUUUACGGAUAGUGAGGGCGAUGUGCAGGUGGACGGGGCCACCGUGUACAAGAGUGGUAGUACACGUCUCCCGGUCGUGCCGGCUACCCGCGAGCAGAGGCCGGUGAUUAAACCUGAAGGAGAUAGGUAAGUACAUUUACUCUUUUUUAGCUUUUGCCUUCAAGUUUGUUCAAAUAUCUAAUGUGUUGACCUUAUCAUACUGCAGGGGAUGGGUACACCCUAUUGGAGUCCGCAGGCCGAACUCCGUCCUUGGUGUGCUUUGCCGGACAAAUUUCCCGGGGUUUGUCACGUUGCUUGGUGAGGGUCAGGUUCCUACACUAGGAUUUUCCUGGGAGCACUACCAGGCUGCGCAAGCCCCGCCGGAAGAGAUUAUAGAUGGUGUCUUGUGACACACGAGGGUCGAGAUGGUGAUCAAGAGCUUUUGGGUAAAUUAUCCUUUUACACAAUCUAAAAUUAACAAGAUAAGUAAUUAUUGUACUAAUCGGUGUUUUCACGUUUGAUUGCAGACCUUCUAUAGGUGUGAGGAUGGAUAUGAGGAGGAGGCGGCCAAGGUUCUCGAGGCCGAGUGUAGGCGGUUACUACAGAACUUAUGCCACGAGGCUCGGCCGCAGGCUAUUCGAGACUACUAUGCCACGCGUGGUAUUAAGAAGCAGAAGAAGGAUUGCCGCGGAAAGUUUCUGAAGAAGGAGCAAUACAUGAAGGUAAUUACCUAUUCUUAAGUCCUUAUACGUAGUUUUCUUGAUUUCAUUCAUAGGCGUAGCGCUCAAAAUUCUUUCUAAUAACUUACAGGUGCCCCCGAGAUGGUGUGCGGAUAAGAUGGAUUGUUGGGAGGCGUUGGUUGAUGAGUGGUGCACAGGCAGCUGGCGAGCCGUCCACGAGAAUGCGAAGGAUCGGCAUAGCCAAAUGGUUGGUGUGCCACACCAUCAAGGCAACGCCAACUUACUUCAGUUUGGACGAAACUGGGUAUGUGAUUUGCUUCAUGAUUCAUGCAAUUCGUUCUUCAUGCUAGUGUUUUGAUCCUCUCUUUUAGGCGCAUCACAAUAAUACGGAGAUGCCACACUUGUACGACCUUUAUGGCAUGGCCCAUACUGCCUCGUACAAGAAGGCGAAGGCAUUCUCUGAGUCUGACCUGGAUGAUCCCAAUAACUUCACCAACAUAUCAUCCCACCACAAGCUCGUGGCAUACAGGGACGCGGGGAAGGCUAUGAAAGGGGAUGACUUUAACCCUAGCCAGGAACCUUUGGAUCCAAAGCUGGUGAUGAUAUCUGGUGGCAGGAGGCCCCAUGGCUCGAUAGCCAUUGGAGCUGGGAUAAUACGUUGUCCACUCACUCUCCCGGAGAUCAAGGCGCGCCAGUCGAGCAGUUGUCCUGAGAUAACGCGUCGUCCACGGCCAGUCGAUCUUGCCAUCGAGGUUAGUUGUACGGACUAAGAACACUUUCAUCCAUUUCAUUAUGUGUGUCACCAUAGAUCAUUACUGUGGUAACUAGGAGUGGUGUUUCAGGCUGCUCUUCGGAAAGAGAGGUUGGCAAACUAGGCUGCUCUUGAGAAAGAGAGAUUGGCAAACCAGGCUGCUCUUGAGAAAGAGAGAUUGGCAAGCCAGGCUGCUCUUGAUGAGAGGGACCAGACCACGACACGAUUGAUUGAGGAGGAGAGGUCCCGAAAUGAGGCGGGUCAACGGGCCGUGUAUGAGCUUUUUGUGGUAAGUUUUUUUUCACAUUAGCCAAAUCAUGUGUGUAAUGUCUGUUUCAUUACUAACUAAUACGACCCACUCUUCACGGUCAGUGCGAGAUGAGCGGUCAAGUCCCUCCGUCGAUGCCCGUCUUCUCUUCGAUUAGCAUGGUGAGUUUUAUUAUAAACUAGUAUUAAUAAUUUAGUGUCAUCAUGCUAACUCAGACAUUGCAAAAUAUCUAUUCUGCAGAAUAACUCCCGAGCGGCAUCGCCCGACCCUUCUCCACGUAUUUCUCCUCCUUGAUGACCACUACGGUAAGUUUAUAUUCUCCUCUUUCAUAUAAUGACAUAGUUAGCUAAUUUAGCUCCAAGAAGAGGAGAAGAGGAGGAGGAGGAGAAGGAGGAGAAGGCCAAGGACCUUCUAGUCCUUCUCCUCGUCCUCCUCCUUCUCCUCCUUCUUCUUUAUUUCUUCUUCUCCUCCUCCUCCUCCUCUUUCUUCUCCUCUUUCAUAUUCUCCUUGCCUUAAUUUCCCCAACAAUGACAUAAUUAGCCCAUUUAGCUCCAAAAUGCCAUAAUAACCUCAAAAUGGCAUAAGAACCUUGGUUAGCUCAUUAAUAUUAUAUACUUAGCUUGUUUUCCUCUAAAAUGGGACAAUUAGCCCAUUUAGCUCCAAAAAUACAUAGUUAGCUAAUUUAGCUCCAAGAAGAGGAGAAGAGGAGAAGAAAUAGGAAAAAUGAAAAGAAAGAAGAAGAAGAAGAAGAGAAGAAGGAGAAGGAGGAGGAGGAGGAGGAGAAGAAGAAUAAAUAAAGAAGAAGGAGGAGAAGGCCAAGGACCUUCUAGUCCUUCUCCUCCUCCUCCUCCUUCUCCUCCUUCUUCUUUAUUUCUUAUUCUUCUUCUCCUCCUCCUCUUUAUUCUCGUCUUUCAUAUUAUCCUUGCCUUAAUUUCCCUAACAAUGACAUAAUUAGCCAAUUUAGCUCCAAAAAGACAUUAUAAGCUCAAAAUGGCAUAAGAACAUUGGUUAGCACAUUAAUAUUAUAUACUUAGCUUGUUUUCCUCUAUAAUGACAUAGUUAGCUAAUUUAGCUCCAAGAAGAGGAGAAGAGGAGAAAUGAAAAGGAAGAACAAAAAGAAGAAGAGAAAGAGAAGAGAAGGAGAAGGAGAAGAAGGAGGAGGAGAAGAAGGAGAAGGAGGAGGAGGAGGAGGAGGAGGNNNNNNNNNNNNNNNNNNNNNNNNNNNNNNNNNNNNNNNNNNNNNNNNNNNNNNNNNNNNNNNNNNNNNNNNNNNNNNNNNNNNNNNNNNNNNNNNNNNNGAGAAGGCCAAUGUGGCCGUCGAACGCUGCAAAGAGGUGGAAUCCCGCCUGAGCGCCCUCCAAGGGGAACAUGCCAAGCUAGUCGAGCAACGCCGCUCGAAGGAGGAGGAACUCAAGGCCUGUGAGGCCAAGCUUGCCGCCCGGGAGAGGGAGCUGUCCCGGGAGACGAACCGCCUGGGAGCAGAACAGGAGCUCUUGGUUGAGCGGGAGAAGGAUGCCACNNNNNNNNNNNNNNNNNNNNNNNNNNNNNGCGGGAGAAGGAUGCCACCACGAAGGAGGCUCUCCUUGAGGCCUGGGAGAAGGCCCUCGCCGCAGCCAAGGAAAAGAAGGCCUCCGAGCUGGCAUGCUUCCCCGACGUCGAGCUUGUGCUUCGCAAGGCGAUCCACUACCUCUGUCGGGGUGGGUUUGACGAGCCUCUGGCUACCCCGGAGGAAAGCAUUUCCAUGCUCGCGAAUGGGCUCGUCACAGCGCUGCGGGAUGCCGUCAUGCAGAUCGACAAGUCCUUGGCGAGUGAAUGCCACGACCUCUUCUUCGCGGUCGUGACUCGUGUCUUCAGCCACGUUCAUCUUCGCGACCCCGAAUUUGAUCUAAGCUUCGUGAUCAUGUGGUUCCUCCCAGGGCCCGCGACCGCGUCGUGGAGUCGGUGAAGGGUCUUGUGGAGGCGUUGGUGAGGAAGUUCGCCCGCGUCGUGCCCCCCUCGUCACCAGGUACCGCUAGAGGCGACGAUAGGGAAGACAAUGCCUCCGAUGUCGACGACCAGCCCCCUGUGGAGGGGGUGACCGACGGCGGCUCCUCUUGAUCUACUGCACUUGUUAUUUCUCUGCAAUGCACAUCGUGCCUCGUGGAGGCGUCAAACUUAUUUGUGUUUUUUAUGAACUGGGUCAUGGUCUGUAAUAAUUGAAUGCUCGAUUGUUUUCCUCGGCUUGUUCCUAUCAUUUUUUCCGUGUUUCUCUAUGUCGGCAAGGCCGGCCCUGCUCGUACCUUCCCGUGAUUGGACUGACCGGAAACCAAGGACAACCCAAAGGGGGAAGGGGCUAUGAGCGCAGUUAGGCUCCUGAGUCGCGAUGCUCAGGAAUCCCCCUUGACGCGCAAGCUCCUCUCAUGAGGAGGACGUGGUGAAGAUUCCGAAACUUAGAACAUUUUCAGCACUCUGUGUCGGGAGAGCCUGCCCCGCGCAUACCUCGCCGCGAUUGAACCAACCAGAAACCAAGGACGGCCCAAAGGGGGAGUGGCUAUGAGCGUAGUUAGGCCCGUGAGUCGUGAUGCUCAUGGGUGCCCCUUGACGUGCGAGCGACUCCGAUCCUCUUCGUAAGAAACCGAUGGUGUGAGACUCUCGAACUCCUUCAACACUCUGCAUCUGCAGGGCCCGCCCCACGCGUACCUCCCCGCAGUUGAGCCGACCUGAAAGGGGUGGCUAAAAAGGGAAAGGGGCUACGGGCACAGUUCAGGCUCCUGAGUCGCGAUGCUCAGGAGUCACACUUGACAUGCGAGUGACUCCAGCAUUCUUCCUAAGGGAUUUAAAGCGACUUGUUGAGCGCAUUGGGCUAUGUGUCCGCAGGGCCCGCCCCCUGCGUACCUUCCUGCGAUUGAACCGUCCAAGGACGGCCCAAAGAGCGAAGGGGCUACGAGCAUAGUUAGGCCGCUGAGUCGCGAUGCUCAGGGGUCCCCCUUGAUGUGCGAGCGGCUCCGUACCUUCAGUUGUUUGCCCACACGCUGGGUGUGGGCGGAGCUGUGGAUGUAUUGCGCUGAUCCCCUCGAUGGCCUUGGGUGUAGCCAUUGGCGGGCUGUGUUAAUGCCGGUUGAGGGCGUAGUCAUCGGCGGACUAUAUUGGUUGCCCAUGUAUGUACCCAGCGCGGAGCAUAGGUCUUCUACUAGGCAUAGGGUGGACCCCUCCGUGUCCUCGGGGGGCCCUGGGCGUAUAUAGCCUCGGCUCGUUAUUACGUUAGAGUGUCACGGUGGGGGUGUAUAUGGGAGGUCGCGAGAAAGAUAGGGCCUUGCAAGUGUCCCUACCCCGAGGCAUCGGGGCCUGAUCUUCUCCCCAGCGUGGAGCGUAGGUCUGCCACUCGGUAUAGGAUGGACCCCAACNNNNNNNNNNNNNNNNNNNNNNNNNNNNNNNNGACCCCAACGUGUCCUCGGGAGGCCUUGGGCGUAUACAGCCUCGGCUCGUUAUUACGUGAGAGAGUCACAGUGGGGUGUAUAUGGGAGGUCGUGAGGAUGCUAUGGCCUCGCGAGUGUCCCUACCCCCGAGUCAUUGGUGGACUGAAUUGACUUGGUUUGGGUCAUUGGCAAACCCUGCUCACUUCUUCUUUAGGAGAGGGGCUCCGCACCUGCACGAACAAACUUUGACCGGAGCCCCCAAGCGGGGGCCGAUCGCCCGACAAUAUAACCAAGGCGGAACGUUAGGAUGCCAAGCAGGUGCAAUUGAACAACCAAAUGAUGCAUAAACGAAAGUAGUAGCUGGGGAAAGUACAGAGCUCGGGGAGGCCGCAUGGCCCUGGGGUUACCUAUGGACUGGGCGAACCGAAAGGUUACCUGGCAGCGGCCAGCAAAAAGUUACCUAGCGGCCGAGCUGCUGAAGUGCCGGAGGCUCUGUUGUCGCUUGAUUUCCUGGAUCCGCAGUCGCGACCCUCACGGGUCCAUCGCCCCCCGAUCUAGGGGCCUUCGCUUGGCCCGAGCAUCUUCUCCUCCUCCUCGUGGCGCCCAAGCACGCAAGGGAGGAGAAUGGCCUGCUGGAGCCUCUGGUACGUGGCAGCCGCGUUCCUCAGCCCGGAGAGCAUGAAGGCUUCAGUGCUCGGGUACUCCCACCAGUAGCCAGUCUGCGUAGGACAGAAGGGGUCGUGCGCCAUGGCUGCGUUGGUUGCAGACGCGUUAAUGCAGAUGCGGGGCCGGUCAACUGUGCAGACAGCGGCGACUGCGAUGGGUGGUGCGGGGCAGUUACCGUGUCGCAUGGUCUGGGCCUCGAGAAGUUCUCGGAUUUCUUUGAUGACGGACUCGCGAGAUCUGGUCGAACGUGCUCCGGAGUGCGCCCUCGGGAUGUGCUCAGACACCGCCUCUGUCUCACUGAUCAGGCUAGGGGCCUCCCCGGUGGGAGCCCCCUAGCCCUGAUCUAAGAGGGACGCCGAGCGCACAUCCCUAUGCGAUGGGGGGCAGGGAUCCGUCCCCGAGCAUCGAACACAAAGCCCCGAGGCACUCCGCAGGGAGGAACUCCUUCUUGAGCGGGGCUUCGUGAGGCAGCUCGUCAUCUUCAUCAUUUGAGCGUUCUGACGUUGCCGCACGGUACGCUCUCUCCAGUGCGUAGACAUCAUCCUUCUCAUGACAGGGUAUGGUGAUGUCACCACCGCUUCCCGGCAUCUUGAGGACAUUCUAUCCAUGGUGGACCACGACCAUGAACUUGGCAAGCACUGGUUACCCGAGGAUGGCAUUGUAUGGCAGAUGGAUGUGCGCGACGUCGAAGAGGAUGACCUUGGUGUGAUAGUUGUGGCGCUCGCCAAAGGUGACGGGCAGGUGCACUUGCCCAAUGGGUACGGUGGAUCCCUUUGUUACCCCUGAGAAGGGCUUGGUCGGCAUGAGUUGCUCAUACGGCAGCUGGAGCUUCUCGAAGGUCUCGACUGAGAGGAUGUUGAGCCCAGCUCCACUCUCAAUGAGAGUCUUGGUGACGAGGACGUUGCUGAUAGUUGGGGUGCACAUCAUUGGGAGCUUGCCAGCCAGGAACGAGCACCUGAGCUGGUCGCUUGGGUCGAAAGCAAUGGUGGUCUGGGACUAGUUGAGGGGACGUAUCGCUUCAGGCCUCGGGAGGGCGACAUUCACCUCCUGGGACAACUGCAUGAAGGCGUGGUUGGAUGCUGGGGUCUGGGCACCACCCAGGAUGGAAGCUAGUGCCCUGGCAUUCUGGAAGCCCCCAGCCCUGUCGUCUUGCUUGUCUUCGUUCCUCCUCCUGGGCUGCAGGGGCAGCGAGGGCAGCCUGGUCUCUCGAGGGCGAGCCUCACGAGGUUGGCCGCUUCGCUGGCCCUCCUGAGGAUUAUCACGCCAGCGGUCCUCCUGAGGUUGGCCAUGCCAGGGGUCCUCCUGAGGCUUCUCAUGCCACCCCUGACGUGGCUCACGAUCAUCCCAGCGGACCCCAUUGCGGCCUCCUCCAUGCAGGGUUUCUGUAGAACUGUCCGGGAUCCUGUUGAAGUGUUUGGCAUGAACCAAACGUAGUUCUUGACAUUCAGAGGUGUCAUGGCCGAUGGUGCAAUGGAAGAUGCACGUCGGCCCUCCUCCAGAGGGGCGCUCUCCCCCCUCGAGUAUGCUUCGUUUCAGGCUCGGCGGCUAGUACCGCUGGGGCCUUGCGCUUCAGCUCCUUGGCUUUGGCCUUCUUCUCUUCUGGGUCCGCCGCCUGGGGCCCAAGGAGCGAUAGGCGUCCUUCUUCCGCCUUGGCGCACUUGCUUGCCAAGUUGAACAUCUCCAAUGCGGUGCUCAUUUCAUCGUUCAUGGCAAGCUCUUCCUUCAUCUUGAGGUCGGUGACUCCGUUGGAUAAAGACGAUACGACAGCCUCAUCCGACGCCUUAGGGAUCAUGAGGCGCAUGACAGUCAAACAUUGUAUGAACUUGUGCAGGUUAUCCACCUCUUGCUGCUUGACGCGCCGCAGGUCGAUCACGGUGGGAGCGCGGUCGCGGGUGCCCUGGAAGUUGGCGAUGAAGCGCUCACGCAAGCCGUCCCAGGAGGUAAUGGACGCCUUUGGGAGGUUGAGGAGCCAUGAAAGCGCGCCACCCUUGAGCGCCAUCGGGAACCAACAUGCCAUGAUCUUGUCGCCACCUCCUGCCGCCUUGAUGCUCAGUGUGUAGAGUUGCAGGAACUCUGUCGGGUCUUGGUUUCCGUCGUAACAUGGGGGCAGGUCGGGCUUGAACUUGCAGGGCCAUGUGCCGGGGUAGAUAUCGGGGGCGAUGGUGAAGCACCCCACCGGUCCAACAAGCACAGUACGCGCGGGGGCUGCCUGGUCUUGUUGUUCCUCAGGGUCUGCCUCGAGCAGAGCACGCUCCGGGCGCGAGAUCUACAACGCCAGGGGAGCGCACGCGUUGGCGCGGGGCCUGGGGAUCAUCUGGCAGCUUGCUUCAUCCCCGGGCCUCGCCCUGGGUUCACGCGGCCGAGCACGGAGUCGUGCUUCCUGCCCGGGCUCGGGGUCCGCGACAUGCCGCGGAGGCGAGUAUGGCGCGUCUUGCUCCUCGUUGUUCGUCAGGGACGGCUAGGGCCGGAGCAAGCAGGAGAGUGCCGCUGAGUCACCAGCGGCGGCGAUGAGUUCCUCGAUGCGAUGGAUCGAGUUGUCAUGGCGGUCUAGAGCUGGUCGGUAAGGGAGAAGCUCGGUGGUCAUGGCAAGCGGGCGGCGGCCAUGGGGCCUCCCUAGCCGAGCGCGGGAUGCCGACGCCGAAGGCCUGACGAGCGACGGCGUGGCGGUGCAGCUGUCGACAUGCUCAGUCGGAGGUUGGGAGCAGCCCUGUUGCUCUAGAGCUUCGGGGCUGGUAGCAGCAUUCACCACGGGUGACGGUGACCGACACGCACCGGCAGCACCGACGGGUGCGGUCCGGGCGAUGCGGGUGGCGCGAUGUUCCGCACGUACCCGGUGUGUAUCAGCCAUCAGAGCCAUGGAGUUUGGUGAGGACGGAGCUUGGAGUAAACCUCGACACGCCCCUACCUGGCACGCCAAAUGUUGGAUUUCGGGCUCUGCAAAACCCUAAGGACUCAAACACUGGCGCGUGUACAAAGAUCUCCCCUUCUUCGCCUCGCCUGUCUCACUACUCGAUGGAAACAAUGAAGGACUCACUAGAAGGUGAGGAGAACACAGAACCCAGCAACUUACCCAGGUUCGAGCCGCUAUGAAGCGUAAAACCCUAAUACUGCUUUGGAGGAUUGCCUCUCUUCAAGGUUGAGGAACGAGAUGGUACAUGGCUUUUGCGCCUCCGGAGGCCAAGUGGCUAAGCGUGCUGCACUAGGGUUUCGAUCCCCUCUCUCAAGUAUCUGUUGGGCAAGGUUGCAUGGGAAACAAAAAAAUUCCUACGCACACGAAGACCUAUCAUGGUGAUGUUCAUCUACGAGAGGGAGGUCAUAUCCACAUACCCUUGUAGAUCGCUAAGCACGAAGUGUUAAGAAAUGUAGUUGAUGUAGUGGAACAGCUUUGUGAUUCAAAUCACCAUUGUCCCACGAUCCGUCCCGAUCUAGUACCGAACGGACCACACCUCUGCGUUCAGCGCACGUACAGCUCGAUGACGAUCUCUGCCUUCUUGAUCCAGCAAGAGAGACGGGGAUGUAGAUGAGUUCUCCGGCAGCGUGAUGGCGUGCUGGUGAUGGUGAUGAUCUAUUCCUACAGGGCUCCGCCCGACCUCCGCAAAAAACCGAUCUAGAGGAAGAACUACGAAGUAGAGGUUUAGGGUUUCAUGUGGCAAAGUUUUUUCUCAAGAACACUAAAAUCUCUAGUAUAUAUAGUAGGAGGGGAGGGGCUAGCCUUGGGGAUCAAGAGAGCCCCUAGGGCGUCGGCCGAGUGGAGGAGGAGGGACUCCCACUCCAAUUCGGUUUGGGAAGGAGGAGUCCCUUCCUUCCUUCCCACCUCCCUCUUUUUUUUCUCCUUUGAUUUUUCCUCUUGGACGAAAUAGCCCUAUUAGGCUGGCCUCACCAGCCCACCAAGGGCUGGUGCGCCACCCAUGGCCUAUUAGGUUCUCUCCCGGGUGGGUGGCCCCCUCCCGGUAAAAACCCGGAACCCAUUCAUCACUCCCGGUACACUGCCGGUAAUGCCCGAAAUCUUUCCGGAAGCCAAAUGAAACAAUCCUAUAUAUCAAUCUUCGUUUCCGGACCAUUUCGGAAACUCACUUGAUGUCUGUCAUCUCAUCCGGGAGUCCCAACAAACCUUCGGUCGCCAACACCUAUAACUCAACUAUACUGAAACGUCACCGAACCUUAAGUAUGCAGACCCUGCGGGUUCGAGAACAAUGCAGACAUGACCUGAGACACUCCCUGAUCAAUAUCCAAUGGAGGGACCUGGAUGUCCAUAUUGGAUCCUACAUAUUCUACAAAGAUCUUAUCAGUUGAACCUCUGUGCCAAGGAUUCAUAUAAUCCCGUAUACCAUUCCCUUUGUCCUUCGGUAUGUUACUUUCCCGAGAUUCGAUCGUCGGUAUCCCUAUACCUAUUUAAAUCUCGUUACCGGCAAGUCUCUUUACUCGUUCUGUAAUACAAGAUCCUGUGACAAACACUUUAGUCACAUUUCUUGCAAGGCUUAUAUGUGAUGUUGUAUUACCGAGUGGGCCCCGAGAUACCUCUCCGUCACANNNNNNNNNNNNNNNNNNNNNNNNNNNNNNNNNNNNNNNNNNNNNNNNNNNNNNNNNNNNNNNNNNNNNNNNNNNNNNNNNNNNNNNNNNNNNNNNNNNNAGCAUGUUUUCUCGAGCCAUGUUGGUACAUGAACAUGGACAUACACAUAUUCUUAGGAACAAAUAAGAAAGAUAAAUGGAGAAGGAAAACCCAAAGCAAUGUCAGAGUUGACAAAACUGCAAUGGCACUUUAUAUGUGGCCCAUCGUCAGUGAGCUGUUUAUGCCUUGCCGGACUCCUCGCAGCCUGGUGGCUUGAAGGCGAUGAAGCUGACGCACUGCACCUGACGCAUGUUGUCGAAUCCGAUGAUGCGGACAUACGCGUCAGGGUACUCCUUCUUGACCUCCUCCACCUCGUUGAGCACCUGUGUGGCGUCGGUGCAUCCGAACAUAGGCAGCUUCCACAUUGUCCAGUACCGGCCAUCGUAGUACCCAGGAGAUGCGUUGUGCUCACGGAAGAUGAACCCAACCUUGCUGAACUCGAGGCAAGGCACCCACUUGGAGCGGAUCAGGUAGUCGACCUGCUUAAGGAGGGCCUCCGUGCUGAGUGGUGGCAAGUAAGACAGGGUCUCGAACUUCUUGAUGCCCUCGAUGGGCCACACCUGCAAAUCAGAUUCACGUCUAUACAUUAAGAGACUAUAACUCUAGUUCUACACGUUUGAUUGUUCUUCUUGACAUCCGUCGGCUUAAAAAUGACUAGAAAGACAGAGACGAUGUUGUUUACCUGCAUGCACCUGAUCCUUCCACCGUUGCUGACGCUGCCGAGGCUAGCACCGUUCGAGCGGCGGCUGACGGGGAGGCCGGCGGUGGACUUGAGCCCCUGGAAAGGAGCGACGGAGGUGGCCGACGAGGCCAUCACGGUGGGGGCCAUAGCUGUACUAUGUAGGUAUAUAGCUUGCUAGAGGGAGGCACACUGGCUUGAGGACUG
rnacentral:lncRNA from 1 species